rnacentral:lncRNA from 1 species
UGUGUUUGUGUGUGUGUGUGUGUGCGCGUACGUGCGUGUGUGCGUGUGUGUGUGUGUGUGUAUGUGCGCGUGCGUGCGUGUGAGUGUGUGUGCGUGCGUGCGUGUGUGUGUCUGUGUGUGUGUGUGUGUGUGCGCGCGUGCAUGCGUGCGUUGUGUGGGGGGGGGGGGGGGGGGGUGUGCGUGCGUGUUGAGCGGCACGAGUGCGUGCGUGCGUGCGGUGCGCUUGCACGUGCUCGUGUGUGCGUGUACCUGCGUGUGUGUGUGUGUGUGCGUGCGUGUGAGCGUGCACGAGUGCGUGCGUGCGGUGCGCUUGCGCUUGCGCGUGCGUGUGCCUGCGUGCGUGUGCGUGUGCGUGUGUGUGUGAUUAUUGAUAAAUAAUAUUGUAGUAAUGAAUUAUUUUAUGAUUAAACUUUACCGGAAAAGUAUGUUUUUAUGAGUUGAAAACAAUAUUUGAUUAAUACUUUUAGGGUUUAAAAUAAAUUAAGCUUUUGAAAAUUUUAAAAACCGUCUUGGAAAUAAAGGAAACUAUGACAGAUUUUUUGUAGGAUUUAUUUUGAAAGUUUUUCAAGAUAAAAGACUUUAGAAUUUUUUCUUAAAAUGUGGAAUUUUAGUCCUUAAAGUGUUACUUGGACAAAUCCUUACUUUUGUGAUUAAUUCUUGUAAUUCUUUAGAUAUGUGGAGUUUUAAAAUAUUGUGUUAUUUUUUUCCAAUAAAAUUAUUUAUCCUGAGAUUUUCCCACUGAUUUGACACCUAGGAUAUACUACUAUGUUAUAGGAUUGUGUGUUGGUUUAAGAAAGUAAAAUAAAAACCCUAGUGUGUUAUUUUAGGGGAGUAAUUGAAACAAUAGGGUGGGAAAAUUUUGUUGAGACGUGUUGGCGUUAAAUCGUUUGUGGCACGUUAGGGUGCUCAAUUGUUGGAUACUUGGUUAUUUUGGUAAGGGAACAUUAUAAACCUCGCAAUUUUGUAUGUUGUACAUUGUUUAUGAAUGCACAUGAUUGGUUAUUUGUAAAUGUAAAUAUUUGUAUAUAUGUUAGUGCAUAUAUAUAGUGGUUGGUGCAAUAUUUAUAAGAGAAACCACAGUAUUAUAUUGUGAGAGUUUUUUAUUAUGGAGUAUUGAACAUUAAGAGAUUUUUUCUUUUUAGAGAAACAUCUUUGUGAGAGACACAUUAUAUAUUCACCCAAAAUCUUAAGAUGAUAGGUGGAUGGUUUUUCUCACUUAUAAAUGCUCAAAUCUUCACAUUUCUAACCAAUGUGGUACUAUUAACCACAAUACUCACAUUUUCUACAUUCUCGAUACUCCCCCUCUAGCGUGAAUCCAUAAUGCUCCCCCUCAAGUGGAACCCCUUCUUACUUCCACAAACUCGUGUACCGCACAUAACAUUUCUUACUCACCACCCUUGUGGCGUCAUUGACAGUCUUCAAUUGAAUGUUUCUUACUCACCAUCCUUGUGGCGCCGUUGACUUUUUACAAGUAAGUCGGUCCCUUUCUCGAAUUAGACUCUCAUACCAUGUGUUGGAGAAGUUUUUCACUAGGGAGCACCGAACAUUAUGAAAUUUUUUCUUUUUAGAGAAACACCUUUGUGAGAGACACACCACAUAUUCACCAAAAAUCUUAAGGUGAUAGGUGGGAGAGUUCUCUCACUUGCAAAUGCUCAAAUCUCUAUAUUUCCAACCAAUAUGGGACUAUUACCCACACUACUCACACUCACUACAUUUUUAACACCUAAGACCUGUGAUUCAUGUGCAAUAACAAUGAGAGAUAUUUUAUUGAGUAGUGAUUAUGAAACAUGUAAGGGAGUGAGAGAUAUUUGAAUAAAUCGUGUGAGAAUAGCCCUACGAAAACUGUAUUAUUACUACUAGAAAACUACUUUUUAUGACAAUGAUUUGACCUCACAUAUCGAAAAACCGAGAUAAAAUUCAUGGACAUUCCCUGUUUUAAAAAAAAAACUAUACCAUAUAUACUUCGUCGAUUGUUUUGAAAAUUAAGGGGUAAACUUAUUCAAUGUACAUGCUUCGAAUCCCAACAACUUCAAAUUAUGUUUUUAUUUCAUUAAAAAUGACGCCUUAUUAAAUAUUUUAUUUUUAAUCUACAAAUACGCUACUUUUCAUCUCAAUUUUCUUUCUAGUCGAGAUAAAUAUGUUUCUCUGAUAUUUAUAGUUUUACUUUGUAGCAUUCAGCUUCACUUGUCUAAAAAACACAAAUAAAUGCUUAACAAAGAGAACUUAACAAAAAAGCCCAAAACAACGAGAGUUAUAAACACAUAUCAUCUUCAAUAAGAAGACGUUAUGUGUUUAGGACUCUCGUUUCUUCUUUAGAGAUCCAAGUCAUUUUCUUUUACUUCUUCUUCGGAGAUCUGGUACGUCAAAUAUCACUACUCAUAUUAUUGUCAUAUUAUUGUUGUUGUUGUUGUGUUGUUGAGAUCCGAACCCCAAGAGGUUUUCUCUUAUCGCUUUUGCUGUUUAAACAAAUUUAUGUUAUAAGUUUAUUGAUUUUUUUUUACGUUGUUGAGACCCUAAACCCUAUCGAUUGUUUAUUGAUGUUGUUAAUUCUUUUGUUUUAUUUAAUGUAAGUUGUUCUUCUUGAGUUGAGUUUAUUAAAUCUAUAUGUUGUAUUUUAGUUUUUGUUAUUGUGUUUGAGUUUGAUAUAGAUAUUGAAAUUAUAUUUUUUGUGAUUCUUUGUGCAACUCUCAUCUUGUUUCGUCAUGUUGAUUUUAUUAUAUAUAAUAUCGAUUAUUUGUUUCACUAACCCCUCUUUGAACAUUUAACCUAUUAAAUUGAUUUUUGAAAUAAUCAUAUAAAAAUUAAGUUAUAUUUGAAACUUAUCUUACACUGAUUAAUAAUUUUCUAACAUUCUGCAACUCAUGAUUUAUCUCAUGUUGUUUUGUAGUUAAAAUCUCUUCAAUACUUCUAGUUUUCGUUCAACUUUCUUUCAUAUUCGUUCAUUUUUCAAAGCAUCAAAUUUUAUACUUUCAAUAAUCAAUUAGUAGAAAAGGAAGUGUUGAAUAAAGAACUAAACAUUGAAGAUAUUUUAACCAUAAAAGAGCGUGAGAUGAAUGAUAAGUUACAUGACGCUUCAAAAUCAUUAAUCAAUGUAAGUUGUUAAUCAAACAUAACACAAUUGUUCAUAUAAUUAAUUUUCUAACCAAUUUUAAGAAGUUACAUGUUCAAUAUAGGGUUUAGUGAAAUAGUCAAUCCACAUUUGAUUUAAUAAACUCAAAAUUAUUAUAUCCCUUAGUUUUAUGAGAAAACCAAGGUGGAAAAAUGGUAUACCCGUCUGAGAAAUGUCAAAAUCGAUGAGACAUGUGUUUUCGUCAUUUUAGAAUUUCAAAAAGGUCUCUUUGGGGUUCGAAUUCAUGACCUUUAUACAGAUCCGUUGAUUUUUUUAAAAAAAACAAUGUUUAAAGUGUGUAGUUUUCAUGACGUCAUUCGUUACCUCGCAUGUGAAACUGAGAUAAAGUACAUAUAUAAUAUAAUAUAUAUAUAUAUAUAUUAUAUAUAUAUAUAUAUAUAUAUAUAUAUAUAUAUAUAUAUAUAUAUAUAUAUAUUAAUAUAUUAUAUAAAUUAUAUAUAAUAUAUAAUAUAUAUAUAUAUAAUCAAUGUUUUGCACGUUGAUGUUGGGAUAGAAUUUCCAGAUAGGUAGAUAGAACUAACAAUGACACAAUACACAAGAGUAGUAUGGGAAAUAGGAAAAUGAAGCUCCAAGAGAAGGUUGUGGAACCAACAUGAUUUUGAAACCACAUUAGCAACAUCCCGAUACUCAGUCUAUGCACUGGAACGAGAAAGCGUGGGUUGUCUCUUGGAAGACCAUGAGAUUAGAUUAUCACUAAAAAAACUCAAUAACACAAAAUAGAUCAACAAAACUCAUUAAAAAUUAUGUACAAGGGGCAUAACCCUAGGAAGAUGAAUUUAAUCUUCCAAAAUCAUAUGUAUUGGCAUAUAGUCAUUGCAUCUAGCGGUUUGUGCAUUAUAAGUUAUUAUAUUACUCCCUUCGUUCCUUUAUAAGUGUCACUUUCUUGUAAAAAAAUUGUUUCUUUUUAAUUGUUACUUGCAAAGUUCAAGGUAGUAUUAAUUGCAAUUUUGUCAAAAUUACCCCUAGAUAAUGAUUAUAGAGAGAAAAAGUAAAGUGAAUAUAAUAAAUAAUUAAUGGUAUUAUUGGUAAAAUAAUAAUUAUUGUUUGAAAAGUAACAAUAAUGAUUAGUUUUCUUAAUAUGCGUAAAAAGUCAAAAAAUGAUCAUUAAAAAGGAGCGGAAGGAGUAUGUUUAAGAACAAGUUAGUUGUUGUGUUUGAUUUACCACAUUAUAUAUGCUUAUUUUACUCCUAUAUAUUUUUAGAUCGUAACUCUUUAUUAUUAUCGUGGACGAGGCUCACACCCUAGUUUCUUAGUAGUUGUUAAUCUUCGAGUUUUCUAACGACGUUGAAGAAGUAGCAUUGUGAUGAUUUGAAUCGGUGAUAGGAAGCAGUGAAGAAUGAUGUCAUGUGUGGGUUUUUCGUUUCCAAUCAUAUUAAUAUAAAGUUCAAAGGUCAUUUUAUGAGUUUCUUUUCUAAAUGUCAGUCUUCCUUAUUUCAUUUUUAAGUUCAGUUGUUUAUAGAAGAAUUUAUUUAUCAUGAGAAAAAAUUUCAACAAUAUUUCUAUUAUCAAACACUUAAUUUACUCAGGGCCGACCAUGUGGAUGUGCAAGGAGUGCUACCGCACAGGGUCUCCAAAUUUUAAGGGUCUCAAAUUUGAUAUUUGGGCCUAAUAUAAAUAUAAUAUUAAAUAAUAUAUAAAUUUAGUUGCAAAUAUGAACAAGUAAUAUAAACUAGCCUAGCGGUGUUUGGAUCUUUUAGAAAGAAAAAGCAUGGGAGUUUGAUUCCUAAAUCUCUACAUUUUUCUUUUUUGCAUAAAAACUGCUUUUCAUUUAAUCAACCUUUUUUAUUAUGAUAGCAUUUUGAAAUUUAUUAUAGGCCCAUUUUAAAAUUUGUUAUGGACUCAUUUAAUCAACUUUUUUCCAUUAAAAAUUUAUAAUUUCACAUUAUUAGUUGUUUAUUAAUUAAAAUACUUUAUUAUUAACAUUUGAAGAAAUUAUUUUAUCUCAUUAAAUGGUAAUAAUUUUGCUAUUAAUUGUGAAUAGUAAGAGUAGAAACAUAUGAAAAAUUAAACUUCAAUAAAUCAAAUUUUUAUAACAAAUAUAUAUUAUAAUAUAUUAAUAUAUAUAUAAAAUUAUAAUUUUGUUUAUCAUUUAAAUGAAAUAUGGUUUUUUUUUAAUUUAUUGUGUUUUUAUCUAUUAAAAGUCUAAUUUUAAAAUAGAAAAAGGCCUCCAAAUUAUUCGGGCCGGCCCUGAAUUUACUGGUAUAUGAACUUUGGUGAAAAUAUUUUAUAAAUUCUUAGAAAAAUAUAACUAAGAAUGCAAGAGAGAUUACAAUAAUAACAGUUGCAAUUACAAUUAUAAGUUUAAAAGAUAUAGAACUAUUUUUCACUAAACUAACGAAUACAAAAACAUUGACCGUUUAUGCAUACUGGUGUUCCACGAACUAGGAUGCAAGGAAAAAGACAAUCGAGGAACGAAGUACAUUUGGAAUCUGUGAUUCAAAACAAGAAUAAAAGAGUGUUAUUGAAAAUGCUUACUAUAUAAUUUAAGAAGAAAACACUUUUAAAUGGUGGAAAGAAAAAUUUACCACUAGCAUCAGUUGCAGUAAGAAAUAGAGAAAAUAAUAAAAUGCCUAUAGUACUAGUAUAAACAAACUUGAAAGCUUUAAUUAAUUUUUUCAUAUGUAUGUAACAAACAAAAACCAAUUCAAUUACUUUUUUUAUAGGAAAAUUGUGUCACUUUAUAUAGUAUAAAAAAGAAACAUAUUCUAUUUUCUUCAAUUAAAUAUUUAUAGCAUUUAUAAAAAUCGUAAGAUACCUUUUGAAAAUUAGAAUGGUUAUGAAAUAUCUCUUAAGAUUAUUGAUACGUCGUGUUUUCCUCUCUUUUUUAAUAAAAAUUGAACCUAAAUAAAUAAAAAAGUCUACAACUUAAUCAUAGGAGGAGUAGACACUUCUUUACUCUUAGAGUUAGUAAUAAAUUUUUAACUAGAAUAGGACAAAACUCAUUGAUAAUUAAAGACAAGUCAUUGGCGAAUUCAAUAUUUACCAUAACAUUUGUACAAACAUUUACUUUUCGAUAAGAAUGACAAACUGUAACCUCCUAAUUCAUUUCUAAUAAGUAUUUCUUUUAAUUCAUUUCUAAUAAGUUGAUAAUACAUUUCUAACGAGUGCUCUAGAAGUAUUUUUUUACAUAAGCAAACUUAAUGCAUUUCAAUUAUUAAUUGUUGUUCAAUACAAGAGGAAAAUUAAAUUAAACAAACUAAGCAUAGUUUAAGAAUUGACCGUUUUAAUUAAUAAGUGGGCAAAUGAAUUUACUUGAUGUUUGACAAACUUUAUCUCAAAGUUGGAAAUAUAUUGUAAAAGACUCUUAAGAGACAUAGUGAUAAGACAAAAUUCCGAACUACCCCAUAAUUGGCAUGGAUAGUUUGGACCACUGUUUGAGAGUCGUUUUCAAAUAUCACAUAAUCCAGUUGCAACCAGAUGGCUGCUUGAACAACUUCUUUUAUGGCCAAGGCUUCAACUUCUAUAAUCAAUAAAAAAUCAACAUCCAACGAUAUACCUCCAAUGAUGAAUCUACCAAGACAAUCUCUAACACACCAAUCCUUAUUAGUUGUUCCUUUCUGUUUAUUGAAGUCUGCAUCGACACUACAUUUCACCCACCCUUCAUUAGGCGGAUUCCACAUCAUUUGGUUGUUGUGGGAGUCGAUAUCACUCGCAUGAUUAUCUUGAGAUUUAAACCAAUCAUGGCAAGUAUGAUACGCUUGCAAUCCUAACUUGGACUCCUCAUCUCUAUCAUUAUUCCAAAUCACAUUAUUUAUGUUAUUCUAAAGGACCUAAAUCAAAAUUGUAACUCUCCACGUAGUCCUCUUAUCUUCUUAACUACAAAUGUCAAGAAUAAGGGUCUAAGCAUCAUUAAAAUUUUGAAGACGAGGUUCUAUGAUAGAAGACAAACCAGUUAGUUUUCAACUUUGAUAGUGACCAUGCAACCAAAGAACACAUGCCAAUCAUCAUCUUCGAUAUUCUCAGACAAAUUACAAUGAGAUGGAUAAGGGAUAAAAUAUUGUCGAAGCUUAUUCCGAGUUGGGAGGCAGCCCCUACAUACACGUCAUAAUAGAUGUUUGGCUCUUAGUGGUGUCGUAAUGUUCCACAAGCUACCCCAAUCCCCUUCCACACUAUGGUUAAUCUAGGUUGAUUGGAAUCUCCUAACCAACCUAUAAAUAGUUAUGAAACUAUAAUUACCGUUUUGUUCUUCUUUCCACACCCUACAAUCUUCUAUCACUUCCUCCAAGAGUGGUACCUUCAAAAUAUCGUUAGCAACAUCAUGGUUAAACAAAUGUCGAAUUUUAUAGACAUCCCACUGUUUAACAUGUGUCAUCAUUAUAUAUUUAAUAGUAACAUUAUAAGCAUAUUGUCCUUAAGGGCCUCUUAAGCAACCUUCUUCAUUACCUUUUAACCUAGGCUCAGUCAUGACUUUAAUAUUACUCCCAUCACUAAUACUCCACUUACACCCAAGGUUCAAAACAUUCCUUGUUUUCCAUAAACUUAUCCAAGAAAAACUCAGAUUAAUGUUCUUGUGAAUAAUGUAUUUGAGGCAUUUAAUAGCACUAUAUUAAUAGCAAGAGAUAAAAUAAUAUUAACUAUGUGUGAAUGGAUAAGAAACUAUCUCAUGAAUAGGAAUGCCAACUUAAGAGAAAGGAUUGAUAGAUGGAAUUAUAGGAUAAUGCCUAGACCUAGACUUAGGUUGGAUAAGGAAGUGGAACAUGCAGGGAAUUGGACCCCUAGUUGGUGGUGACACAUUAUGGCAAGUUGAACAUACCCAUACCAUGAAUAGUUUCAUUGUGGAUACAUCAAAGAAAACAUUCACAUGUAACUGUUGGGAACUAGUGGACAUUCCUUGUAGACAUGUCGUCGCUGCAUUAGGUUUUAGGAACCAAUCCCCCAAAGAUUUUGUUGAUGACUAUUAUUCCAAAGAUACUUAGGAGAAAUGUUAUGGUUAUAAUCUAAGUCUUAUUAAUGGACAAGACAUGUGGUCGGAGGUUGACAUGGAAGAGAUGUUGUCUCCAUCAUAUAAAAGAGGACCUGAACGACCAAAGAAGCUGAGGAGGAGGGAAUCUGAUGAGGACCCUAAUAAGGUAAGAACACAAACAACUUAUUGUUGCACAAGAUGUGGUGUACAUGGAUAUGAUGCAGGAAGUUGUACAAGUCAGGUACUUGACCUCGAAGCUAAAAAAAGAAAGGUAUUGGAAUCUCUGUAAUUGAUAUUUUAUUAAUGCCAUUGAUAUGUUACAAAUGUUCUGACUUGAUUGUCUAGAGAAAGCCAAAGAAAACAGCAACAGGACAAGGACCAACUCAAACUGUAAAACAAGAACAAACUCAACCUACUGAAGCUGAAACUGCAACACAGGAACAACCACAACCAAAUGAAACUCAAAUUGAUGUUGACCCUGAGUUUGAAAUGCUUGCUGCAAAUCUUGCAUCCGCAUUUGAGGCAACUCAAACUCAACCAAAUCUUGUUGUUAAUGGACCAGUUGCAUCUGCACCAAGUCAUAGUGCAUCAAUUACACCAGCUCAAGGUGAACCUGUUACAUCUUCACAAACUGAUGAUGCACCUACUACACCUGCUUAUACCACCCCAAGAGUUCUUAAACUAGUUGAGUUUAAUAUACCAUUUCACAAUGAUUGGAAUUAUUCUAUUGAUGUCUUGCACCUCUAAUAUUCUAUAUUUUACAGAAAAAUAAGACAUACAAACCAAAUGUUGCAAGAAAAUUGGAGUUAAGGAGAAGUGACAAGACAAGGGUCCUAAGAUGUAAAGACCUGAUAGGAAAAGGAAGUAAUCAAUCACAACCUAUGGAUGUGGACAAGGCUCCAUAAGCAUCUUGUUGGUGUCUUGCACCUUUAUUGUAUUUUGAGACUAAAGUUUAUGCCCUUUGACUUUAUGUAAUUCUGAGACAUAUAACAUCAUUAUGGUUUAUUUAUGGUGUGUCUUUGUUGUACUUUGAGAAAAAAUUAUUUGCCUUUUGCCUUUAUGUAAUUCUGAGACUUCUUUGUGGUUUAUGUAUGGUGUGUCAUUGUUCUAUUUUGAGACAACUUUAUAUGUCUUUAUGUUCUACAAUAUUAAGUAAACGCAUAAAAUACAGUGAUGACAUAGAAAUAUAACAUUAAAAAGCAGGGAUAUAAUACAAAAAGCUACAAAAAUAUAGGGACAGAAAUUAAAAAUUUUAAACGUUCUGGUUUAUUCAAUAAUGUAUCUUUACAGGGACGAAAUUUAACAACUACCCUUCUUCUAGGGACUAAAACCAAAAAUAAAUUACAGACAUGAUGAACAUGACAAUCACUACCAUUUCUGGUAAGCAAAGAACAAACACCAUGAAAGAGUCAACAAAAGCUUAAACAUUUUGGUCUUCUUCCUUUCAUUUUCCAACUUCAAUUUCGUCUUCUUCUUUUUCCUAGCUUCAAGAUCUUUAAUGAUGCAACCAAACUCCUGAACAAACUCUGAGCAAUUGCAUCUGAUUGAGUUUUUGUAUUCUGUUGAUGUGCUACGUUCAACUUCAUCAUCCCAUAUGAAAAGCGAGAAACCUAAUCCCGAAUUAGAACACUUCCAGAAUCUUCUUUUAGGGGUUUUAGUUGAAUUUUAGAUGAACAUCCUCAUUGCUUUAUUGCAACCACAAACUGGAAUUUCAGACACAGAGGAAUUACCUACAGAUAAUGUUGUCAUGGUUGAAUCUGCACUAGGUUUGAAUAGAGUGACAAGAGAGGAAGAAGCGACGAAUAUUUGAAGAGAAGAAGAAGAGAUGCAAAUUUGUGUCUUUUUUUGGAUUUAGUCCUUUUUUUUAAUUCCCUUCCACUUAGUUUUCCACGUAUUAUCCCCAUAAAAUUAUAAAACAAUUCCAUGUGUGCGUCGUUUGUCCAGUCACCUUUUUUUGUAACAGAAAUCUAUCUCCAAGGACUAACGCCAACAGAAAAGUGAGAUAUAGGUACUCAGAUAAAAAAAAGAUACAGAGACCAAAUUCAAAAAUAGGCUAACUUACAGCGACGAAGAGACUAUUUAAGCCAAAAAGAUAUAAAACAUCAUAAAUGCGUAAUUGUCAAGACAAAUCUUAAUUUAGUAUAAAUUGUAUAUUUCUUAUGUUACUUCAUGUCUAAGUAAGCUAAUGAGUGUGUGAGAGUAUAAUAGUAAUAAACAAGUAAUUUUUACACUUAUCGGUCACUAUCAUUUUUUGAUAUGUUAAAUAAAUCAGCAUGCAAAAGAUCUAGCGAUUGAGUUUCCCAAUAUAAAAUUUUGAAAGUACAAACUUUAUGAUGAUUUCCAAAAAUGAAAGCAAACAAAUGUACGUUUUAAAACAAAAUGUUUUAUAACCACUAUUAAAGAGUUGGAGCUUCGCCACCUAAACAUAUUUGAACCUUAGGUACCGAAAACCCUAGUGGAAACUAUUACAAAUGAUAUUCAAUAGAUUUAUUUGAACUUCAUUUUUAUCAAACAAGGAUGAUAGUCUUAAUACCUUGUAUUUUGAUCUAGAGCUCAAAUUCAAAUUAUUGUCAGAGUACUUUCGGGUAAUAGCGUGAUGGGGGUGUUGAUUGGAGUAUUUGUCCUCGUCUGAGGACUUGCAAACACUUUGAUACCCAAACUACUAUUGAGAGUUGGUAAUUUUAAGUUUGCAUGACCUUGAAGUUAUGGUAGUGGGAUUGGAUCAGCCAAAAGUCCAAUCUAAAAAAGUCACUUUCAAAGCCUUUAGUUGACAGAGUCAGGUAAUGACUUUAAUUAACCAUUUACUGAUUAGGAAUCCCUUUUUAGGAUUGUUGUCGAUUUAAUCACUUAUUUAUCCAUUAAAAUAAAUUACCACCAAACUUCUUAAUAUAUCCUUUUCUUUUUAAUAAAUUGUACUAGUAAAUGGCAUAUUUGUAAUUAACAAAUACUAAAAAAAAUUAAAACUACCUCAUUUUGUCACCUCAUUCAUUUCUCACUUUUUACUUUUAACUUUCUCACUCUUCAUUUUCUUCUCUUAAUUCAAAUUUCCAAUUUUUCUCACAUUUUUUUCCUCACACUUUCUCACUUUCAUUUUAAUUUUUCCCCACUCCAUUUUCUUUUUCUUAUUUUAUUGUUUAAGUAUAAAUAGAAAAAUUUGAACCUCUUUUUAAUUUAAUGAAGAAGAAAACAGAAAAAUGUUGAAUUUUUAAAAACACAAAAUUUAACUAAAAUAAAAAAAUAAUUAUUAUUUAUAGAAAAAUAUUUAUAAUUUAUAUGAUUAUUGUUCAUUUUAUAAUUAAGUGACUCAAUUGAAAUUGACAUCUGUAUCUAAAUACAUUUUAGACUGUAUCAAAUUGGAUAACACUUAAUUUAAGAGACACUUUUCAUUUCGUGUGUCACUAUCAGGACAAUAUCUAUUUUAUUUUAAUCAACAAUUGUCUUUAUUUAAGAGACACAAAUUUUAUUUUUAGAUGUGGAUUUUUUUUUUCUUUCUCCAUCUAACGGAUCUCUUUUUUUAUAUCAUUAUUUAAGACAAGUGAGUUUAUAUGAUCAUUGUUCAUUUUACAUUUAAGUAACAAAUUAUAAAUUGACAUGUGUAUCUAAAAGUAUUUUACAUUGUAUAAAAUUUAAUAUCACUCAAUAAUGGUGUACACUACUAACUUUCAUUUUACAGGUCAUUGUCAAGACAAUAUCUAUUUUAUUUUAACCAACAAUUCUUCAAAAAAAAAUCAUUUCAAAUUUAUACGUGUAUCUAAAGAUAUUUUAUACCGUAUAUAAAUAAAUUUACCAGUGCGUUGGCACAAGUAGCUUGCUAGUUGGUUAUAUAAAUGAUUAUUUUGAGGAUGAAGUUGACUUGUAAAGGUAGCCGGGUCGACCUUGAGUAAGGGCAAGACGACCCUUAGCCCGGGACCUCCAAAUUAAUGGAUCUCAUUUUGUAUUAAAAAAGAAAAAUAUAUACUAAAUAUUAUAUUAAAUAAAUAAAUAAUAAAAAAUAAAUUUGAAUUUAUCAUUGGCCAGACAAUAGAUGGUUGAUUUUUAAACAUGGUGGUAAAAGUUGUGGGUUCAAUCCUCUUUGUACUUUUUAAUUACUGUUGUAUAGUUGUUGACAUGUCAAUGUCGUGUACGAUGUUUGUAUUGUGUAUGAUGUUGAAGGCGCGCAUACCGUUGAAGCUUUGGUUUUCUGAACAUGGAAUGAUGUAUUUAUGUGGACUAUAUAGAAGAUUCUAGUAUGCUUUUUCAAGAAUCUUUAGCAUAAGAUCAUUCUUUCUUUGUUAAUUUCAUCAUUUCAUACACAUUUUUUUCAAUUACUUACUUUUACAAUUUUGAGUAAUGUUAUGAAUAAUUAGCAUUAUAAUCUAACCACCACAUGUUGUUUUUUAAUUUUAUUCGUAUCUUAUAGAUUGUCACUAUUAUAAUAUAUAUUUCCUUAUUAGUUAGUCAUCUAUUAUGUUCUUCAUAUUAUUUUUAUUGUUUUUAAAUUCAAUUUUGUUAGUGUCGAUAUCUUAUAUGUUAUCAUUAGUAUAAAAUAUAUUAUUAAUGUAGGUACCAUCGUGAAGAUAUUUUAUCGUUCAUCUAGUGUGAUAGUUUUCUCCCCUGAUAACUUUGAUAAGGUUGUUUUAGAUGAAACAAAAGAUGUUCUAGUGGAGUUCUAUGCACCAUGGUAUGUAUAGAUUAAUGCGAUCUUCUGUAACUUUAUGAUAUGAUGAUCAUUUUUCAUUUUCAAUAUUUCUGAAUCUUAUUUUUUUUAUAAAUUCAUUAUUGUAUUUAGGUGUGGUCAUUGCAAGAUUUAUCAUUAUAGUGUUUAUACUAUUUAUUUAAAUUUAUAAAAAUAUUUUUGUAAUAUUCAGGUUGGAAGAAAAAGUAAUUAUAACUAAUAUGGACAUUGACGAAUAGAAGGAUUUGAUAGAAAAAUGUUGAUAAUAAUAUAAAAGAUUCACGUUUCAUCAAAUUAGAGUUAUCGUUUGAUGAACUUUAUAUUAUUCUAAAACAAACAAGCUUAAAUAUAUUUGGAAAAAAUAGCAAUAGAAGAAAUUAGUAAAAAUAAUUAGAUGUUGGAAUGUAAAUAGCCAUGUAAGAUAAGAUAAAUAAAACACGAUUACUCUAUUGUCACAAAAAUAAGGUACAAGAUCGAUUUUUUCGCAAGUGCUCUAAUGAAAGAAUGUUUAUUACAUUGCAUUUUCUAUAAUUGAAGUUAUGUUAUCUAUUUCGCGUCAAACUUUAUCAACUUAUCAAAAAUUAUUCAAAGGCUAGUAAUCUCUCUUCAGAUUUCAUUUUUCCAACUGUUUUUUCUAACCAAAAACUUACCUCUAUCAACCAUUGUUGAUGUUCUAUUUCGAAUCUUCACUCAUCCAUUCUAAUCCCAUAACCAAAUUAUAACAGCAUUCUCUGAUACAAUUCAUCUCAAACGUUAUCGAUAAUAGUUAUCCAUUAAUCAUGGGUGAAAGUCUACAAAGAAAUGAAAGUUUGGAUAUGAUUUUGAAUGUAAAGAGAGACGCCGCAGAAAAGUUGGAUGAAUCAAUGGUUGAAGAUCGUGUCCCUCUUUUGCAGAAGGUGAGUCUACAAUAAUCUUUAAAAAAAUGAAUUGUAUAACACAUAUGAUAUUUGAAUUAAAAUCAUGAUUAAAAUUAUGGUUAUGUUUAUUGUUGAAUAUAGUUGGUAGCAGAGGUGGUGGGAACAUUCUUUUUAAUAUUUGUGGGAUGUGGUUGUGUAGUUGUAAACCUUAACAAUGAUAAUGUGGUGACACUUCCUGGAGUCGCAAUUGUUUGGGGACUCGCCGUCGUCGUAUUGGUGUAUUCUCUUGGUCAUAUCUCCGGUGCUCAUUUCAAUCCUGCUGUCACCAUUGCUCAUGCCUCUAGCAGAAGAUUUCCAUUGAUGCAGGUGAAUUACCAAAACCAAACAUAUAUAACAUGAUGUUCUUAUUGUAACUAUUCAUUUUCAUUCACUUUUUACAUGUAGGUGCCAACAUAUAUAAUUGCUCAACUCCUUGGAUCAACACUUGCGAGUGGAGCUCUCAAGCUUAUAUUCAAUGGCAAAGAAAACCAGUUUGUGGGAACACUUCCUUCUGGUUCCGACCUUCAAGCUUUUGUGAUUGAGUUUAUAAUCACUUUCUACCUUAUGUUCAUCGUUUCUGGAGUUGCCACGGAUGAUAGAGCGGUAAAGUUCAUGAUUCUUUAUAAUAACAUAUUUUGAAAUUUGCAGUAUAUAAUAUGUGUUUAAAGCUUUUAAAUAUUAAUUAGUUAUAUUUAUUUAUGUAGAUAAGUGAAUUGGCGGGACUUGUAGUUGGAUCUACAAUUACUUUGAGUGUUUUGUUUGCUGGGUAUUACUCUUAAAAUCUUAAUAAAUUAUAUAUGGAUUAUUAAGUGCAACAAGUUUUGCGAGAAUUAAAUUUAAAACUAACUUUUGAGUGAAAAUAUGUUUUACAGGCCAAUCACAGGAGCAUCAAUGAAUCCUGCGAGAAGUUUGGGGCCAUCUAUUGUGCACCAUGAAUAUAGAGGAAUAUGGAUAUAUUUGGUGUCUCCUGUUUUAGGAGCUUUGGCUGGAACAUGGACAUAUAACUUCGUCAAAUUUACAAACACACCAGUAGGUGGGCUUACCGAGAGUAAUUCAUUUCUUAAAGGUUCCAGAAGCCUGUGAUUAUAAAUGAAUUUAAAUUCAUUUUCUUGUUUUGAAUAUAUCCAUGUAUUAGGAUCCAAAUGUAGAGGAAAGAUUUAUUGCUUUUAGUGUGCAAAGUAAUCUUGUAUAGUACAUACAACUAAGGUAAAUGAAAAGUUUAAUUUCUUCAUAUUUUUUCCUUAAGAAAGAUAUUUAUUAGCAUUUAAAACAUGUUGUUUAUAGUGUAAUCUACAUUGAUAUUGCUGUGAUAUAAUUCAAGUUGUAGUCCAAGCUUAAGUUAGUUAGGGUUAGGGUUUAUCAUCUUAGUUACUUAGUAUACAAGUAAUAUAGUUGUAUAUAUACACUUAAUUGUAAUUUAGUUUUAACGGCUUUUAAUAAGAACAAUUCAUCAAUUAUUUUUCAUUGUCUCUCGUUCUUUCUCUCACUCAAAGUGUCUCACGCACUAACAAAUUGGCAUAUAGAAGUCCAAUUAGUUUCUUGAUUGUGUUUUUGAGAAUCACAUGUCGGUGAUCGUUUUUUCGGGAUCGUGGGUUGUUAAUCACAUUUUGCUGCAAAGAUGAAUGGUAACAAUGACAUUCCGAAUUCUCUUUCAAUUCUUGACGACAAGAAUUGAAUCUGAUAGAGAAAACAGAUGCAAUCACUAUUUAGCUUUCUUGAAAUCCUAGAAGUGGUUACUAAUGGCGUCUCUGAGCUUGCUGAGAAUGCAACUGAUGAUCAAAGAGUCAUAAACAAGGAGGCCAAGAAGAAAGACUGCAAGAUUGCAUUUUAUAUUUAAUCGGCGGUAGACGCGACAGACUUUGAUCGAAUUUCUUGUGUUGAAUUGCGAAGGAGACAUGGGAUAUUCUUGUCAAGUAUUACGAAGGAGGUGAUAAGGUUAAAGUCGUUAAAUUGCAGAUGUUGCGAAGGCAAUAUGAAUUAUUGUAGAUGGGAAAAGAAGAAAAGAUUGUAGACUAUGUCCCGAAGGUGCAUAAUAUUGUCCAUCUCAUGAAAGGUUGUGGUGAAACCCUAACUGAUAAGAUAAUAAUUGAGAAGUUAAUGCGUACAUUGACCUCUCACUUUGAUCACGUUAUUGUAGCUAUUCAAGAAUCCAACAAUCUUGAAACCAUGAAACUGUAAGAUUUGGUUGGUUUGUUGGAGACACAUGAGAUGAGGACUACAGGCUAUACAAGCACUACAGGCUCAGACAUAGAAGAAACAUGUUAUUUCCAACAAGUUCAAGAGAAAAGGAGACAAGACUCGGAGUAAGAAGUCUUGGUCGGACCUUCAAAAGCAUAAGGUCGAUGAUAGGGCUUUUGAAUCCUCCAAAAGAGGAGAAGGAAACUCCUAUCAGAAAGAUAAAGAAGAGAGAAAAGAUAUGUAAUGUUAUAACUAUGAAAAAUGGGGUCACUUGGCCAAGAAUUUUUGGUACAGAAAAUAAAAGGGAGCGACAAAAUGCAAAAAUGAAGGUGCGAACCUUGCACGCCAAGAUUAAGAUGAUUUUGAAGAUAUGAUGGUUAUGGAUGCAGUUGCAGAUGACCAUGUCAACUCCAAAGUUUGGUUCCUUGACACAGGUUGCUCGAAUCACAUAAUUGGUAGGAAAGUGUGGUUUGUAUAUGUAACACCUCAAAAUUUGCCCUCUUCUCUUGGGACUAGCAUUAUCAUUGUACAUAUCAUUUUAGGUCAUUAGGCAUUUCAUAUUGCAUAUCAUGUGGUUACAUUGUGCAUGCCAUCCCCACAGGUCUUGAUCAGAAGAUGAGGAAGUCAAAGUGCAAGCUAGGGUUUUAUUGGACUGGUCAGCAACCAUCUGAGGGUGUGCAAGUUCAAAUUAGGGUUUCAUGGUUCUCAAAGGAUAUUGGUCUUCAUCUUGUUUGAAAUGAUACAUCAUCAUCAUGGUUUGAUUUCAUCAAGUGUUGAAGCUGAUUCCUUGAGAUUAGGGUUUUGACCACUGGUCAGCCCUAAUCAGUUGCAUUGGGCCAGUCAGGGCAUAAUCAGGAGAUGGGGUCUAUGAUGGCUAUGGGGUUCAUUAUAUGAUUAUAUGGAGAUUAUUGAGGCUAGGGGUUUCACCCUUGAGCCAUUUCAUCAGAGAGUUGGAGCUCAGUUUGAUCUAUGCAUGGCCAGAUUCCUCUAUCAGAUGAAAAGUCAACUGUGGUCAACUGUACAUGAUCUGAUGGAUUUGGAGGUGGAAAUGAGUUGGAUGCACUUCAUUCAUGUUGAAACAAGUGUUAUUUGACAUCUCAAAGCUUAAAAAUGAAGAAAAUCAAGUCAGGACAAAAACUGCCAAAAUAGAAAGUGACUUGUAAUAGAAGUUUCCAAAAAUGGAAAGUUUUGACCUCAAAGCCACGUGUCCAGGAAGCUUCAAAUGAAAAAUUGUUCAACAUGAAAGUUGUAGAUCUUUUCUCACCUUUCCAAAAAGUCCAAGAACUUGAAAAUCCCAUGUAUGGUUGUCAAGUUAUGGCUCAGUGAAUUUCAAAAUGACCCAUAAUCAGGAGGCCAUAAUUUCCACAUGGAUUGUCCAAAUUGAAUGUUCUUUAUAUGCACAAACUCCAUUUGACAUGUACUUUCAUGGUGCAUAAUUGGAUUUUCUCAAAAGUGGUCAAUGCAAAAAGUCAAAUUUCAACUGGACAGUUAAAUGACCAGGGGCAAAAUUGUCCAACUUGUGAAAUAAUUGGAAUUUUUGAGUGGGGAUUUUUGCAACACCUCAUAAAUGGUAUUUGAAAGUUGUUGGAAUCAUCAUAACAUGGCUAGGCUUCAUGGUUUGGAAAUUGGCCAUUGGAAUGAACUUGAAUAAUUGAAUGCAUAACCAUUCACAUGUGAUUUUCCAAAAUACACAUCCAAUGAGAGUGAAACAAGUUGCAACAGCUCACACAUGUCAUUUAGAGAGUGUGUGAGCUGUCCAUGAGGUGGCAAUGAGCUGGCAUGGGAAAUUCCAAUUUUGCCCUUACUUGAAAUUAACACUUAUGCUAAUCAUUCCAAUUGGUUAAUUAGUGUGAUUAAGUGGUAAUUAAGCUUGAGUAUAUAAUCCUAAUCAUCAUCAAAUCAUAACAGAAUUACACAUUUCCCAAAAUCAGAUCCAAAUUCAUCAAAUUCUCAAGAACCUCUCAAGAACACAUUGAACAAGAAUUCAUCAAAUCUUCUUCAAUUCUUGCUCAAAUGCGAAAAUUCUUGUUGCAUUGAUCUUCAAUCAUCAUAUACUCCAGCUGUUUUUGGAUUUCAUCAUCGAAUUCACCCUAAUUCGCAGCUGACAAGAUUGCAUCCUUCAUGGCAAAUCGAGUUUUCAUGCACUAGGAGUGAAGUCAAUGGAACCUAAGCCUUGCAUCUAACUUCCACAAGCCUCUACUCCACCUGUUUGAGGUCAAAGCACGCAAAGAACAGCAAAGAACAUCACUGCCAUAUCAGGUACCUCAAAAUUCGAACAUCACGGUUCUUCAAUUACCUGGAUGCGUUUUGUAGAGUGUUGAAUGUAGAUCGUAGUGAUGUAAUUAGUUUUAGAAAUGUGAACUAUAGGUUGAGAAAUCUGAACUCGAAGCUUUGAAUUGAAACUUUAUUCGAUCGAUCCGUGAGCUGUGUUAGGAUUUAGGUGGAAUUAGUUACAUAGUUGAGAUGUACAUGGUGAGACGAUUCCAACGGAUAUUAGUUUGUGCAAUUUGGUGAUGAAAUGAUUGAAACCAGUUUGGACAUGGAGGAGUAUGUACCGCGCGAAGAAGAAGAUAAUUUUCUGAAAUGUUUACUGUUUGAUCCAAAAUCCUGUUUGAAAUUUUGAAUUGAAGUUUGCCGCGCGGUACUGUUCCAACAAUUACAAUUAUGCCACUGUAAAUUCAUUUUAAUUAUAUUAAUUCAUUAAAAUUCUUAAAUCAUUAACACCUUAGAAAUUCAUAAAAAAUCAAUAAAAAAUCAGAAAAAUAUAGGAAUUUUUGUGUUGACUUCUUUGUUGACUGUAGAAUUAUUUGACCUGUUGAUUGAAGUUGUGCAUGGUAAUAUUUGUGUUUGACCUAGGGAUGUUUCACAUGUAUGAAAAUUGAUACAUUCUACCAUUGUGAUUGUGAAAUUCUCAUAUUCUAAAAAUAAAUGCUUGAAAAUUUUUGUGAUGAUUGUGGAUUGGCUGAUGGAGAUUUACAUGUGCAUUUUAUGAAUUUGGAUUCCUGGUCAUUGAGAUAUGAUUUUGGAACUUAGGUGUGACAAUUUGUGUCACACCUCAUUGUGUCAACUUGCUGGAUUUAUUUGAAUGACUUAGGCUUGUUAGAAUGAUAUGAAAUUUUGCAUGGAUGUUCAUUAACAUGUUAAGAUGCUAUGUGAAUUUUGUGGAAUUUUAUGUGGCAUUUUCAAUUUGAUUGCUAUUUUUCAUCUCUGAUGGUCAAUUGUGCAAGCUCAUGUGAUACAUGUGGUAGAUUUAAUGUGAAAUGCUCAUAUGGUAUUGAAUGAUCAUGAAAUUUGAUAUGAAUGUUGUAGACACAUGAUGUGACAUCCCUGUUUUGGUCUCACUCAUUUAUUUACUGUUUUCAUUGAGUUGUGAAUUUUUUGGAGUGAAUGCAUGUGUUGAUGUUGUGAUUUGGAGCAUGUAAUUGUGUCUGUUUUGUGUUGAUUUUCAUUGACAUGGUUUCCUUUGUCAAUUAAGCUAAAUUGACAUGCUAGACCUUGAUUAGGUCCUGUUUAGGUUGUAAUUUAUUUGAGAUUUUUGGAUUUGUUUUGAUAUGGAUUUGAAUGCAAUAGUUCUGUUUGAUGUUUGGUGUUCCAUUUGAACUAGUUUGAUUUGUUUGUGCAUAAAUGAACAUGAUGAAUGACAUGGACAUGGACUAAUUGUGUUGCUCUUGUUUGACAUUAAUUUGAGUUUGGUUGAAUAUACCUUGCUGUUUAGGAAUCUUUCUUGCUUUGGACCCUAGGCUUGGCCUAGUGGUCUAGUUUCUAACAUUUGAUUGAUUUUCAGGAUGAAAAGUGCAAGUUUAUGGAGAAUGAUCCAAGUCAUUCAAUUGAUGUUGUUUGAUGUUUGUACACUAACAUAACUUGUUUUGUAGGUUGUGAAGUUUGGGCUUGAGCUCAUAGCUUGCCUUUGUUGUGCAUUAGUUUGUAUAGUCUGACUGAUUAAUAUUUGCUGUUUAUUGUUUGUCUGUCUGAGUACUAACUGUGUUUGACUGUUUCCAGGUACUUUUAGUUGCUCAGUUCCUUGUGAACUUUUGCUUUGCUUUGCUUAAGCAACUUGCAUUGAGGUAUAACUUCCUAACUUCAUGUAGUCUGGAGACCCGGUCUGUUAUUUGACCGGGCAAACUGUCUGAAGUCCUCCUUAAGAGGCAAUGUUUGUGAUUGUUUAAUAUUGUGGCCUAAGCAGGUAAAGUCCUUAAUCAAGGCAAUUGGUGGAAGGUAGGGGAUAAUCCUCUCUUGCCACUAUUCAGUUGAGUCUUCUCCUNAUUAUUCAUUAAAAAAUUCUUAAAAAAUCAUUAACACCUUAGAAAUUCAUAAAAAUCAAUAAAAAAUCAGAAAAAUAUAGGAAUUUUUGUGUUGACUUUCUUGUUGACUGUAGAAUUAUUUGACCUGUGUGAUUGAAGUUGUGCAUGGUAUAUAUUUGUGUUUGACCUAGGGAUGUUUCACAUGUAUGAAAAUUUGAUACAUUCUACCAUUGUGAUUGUGAAAUUCUCAUAUUCUAAAAUAAAUGCUUGAAAAUUUUUGUGAUGAUUGUGGAUUGGCUGAUGGAGAUUUACAUGUGCAUUUUAUGAUUUGGAUUCCUGGUCAUUGAGAUAUGAUUUUGGAACUUAGGUGUGACAAUUUGUGUCACACCUCAUUGUGUCAACUUGCUGGAUUUAUUUGAAUGACUUAGCUUGUUAGAUGAUAUGAAAUUGCAUGGAUGUUCAUUAACAUGUUAAGAGCUAUGAAUUUUUGUGGAAUUUUAUGUGGCAUUUUCAAUUUGAUUGCUAUUUUUCAUCUCUGAUGGUCAAUUGUGCAAGCUCAUGUGAUACAUGUGGUAGAUUUAAUGUGAAAUGCUCAUAUGGUAUUGAAUGAUCAUGAAAUUUGAUAUGAAUGUUGUAGACACAUGAUGUGAAUCCCUUUUUGGUCUCACUCAUUUAUUUACUGUUUUCAUUGAGUUGUGAAUUUUUUGGAGUGAAUGCAUGUGUGAUGUUUGUGAUUUGGAGCAUGUAAUUGUGUCUGUUUUUGUUGAUUUUCAUUGACAUGGUUUCCUUUGUCCAAUUAGCUAAAAUGACAUGCUAGACCUUGAUUAGGUCCUGUUUAGGUGUAAUUUAUUUGAGAUUUUUGGAUUGUUUUGAUAUGGAUUUGAAUGCAAUAGUUCUGUUUGGAUGUUUGGUGUCCAUUUGAACUAGGUUGAUUUGUUUGUGCAUAAAUGAACAUGAUGAAUGACAUGGACAUGGACUAAUUGUUGUGGCUCUUGUUUGACAUUAAUUUGAGUUUGGUUGAAUAUACCUUGCUGUUUAGGAAUCUUUCUUGCUUUGGACCCUAGGCUUGGCCUAGUGGUCUAGUUUCUAACAUUUGAUAUGAUUUUCAGGAUGAAAAGUGCAAUGUUUAUGGAGAAUGAUCCAAGUCAAUUCAAUUGAUGUUGUUUGAUGUUUGUACACUAACAUAAUUGUUUUGUAGGUUGUGAAGUUUGGGCUUGAGCUCAUGCUUGCCUUUGUUGUGCAUUAGUUUGUAUAGUCUGACUGAUUAAUAUUUGCUGUUUAUUUUGUCUGUCUGCGAGUACUAACUGUGUUUGACUGUUUCCAGGUACUUUUAGUUGCUCAGUUCCUUGUGAACUUUGCUUUGCUUUGCUUAAGCAACUUGCAUUGAGGUAUAACUUCCUAACUUCAUGUAGUCUGGAGCCGCGUCUGUUAUUUGACCGGGCAAACUGUCUGAAGUCCUCCUUAAGAGGCAUGUUUGUGAUUGUUUAAUAUUGUGCCUAAGCAGGUAAAGUCCUUAAUCAAGGCAUUGGUGGAGGUAGGGAUAUGCAAUCUAUCCCCACUAUUCAGUUGAGUCUUCUCCUUGCUCCAUUACAUGGUGUAGCAUUGAGAUCACAAGCCAAGAUCUUGUGCAGUGCACAUUGUGUCAGGUCUCUGAGUAUAGAGGUUCCCCCAUUCUGGACCCAUGCUCAUUUGUCAGAACUCUCCUGGUCAGGGAAUAGAGCUGUAGGUCUGAUCCUCACUUCACUUUCAUCUGCUUCACCUUAGCCUCGUAUGGCAAGGUUAAGAGCAACACAGCCCGUACAGAUGACUUGCUGAGGCAGUCAAACCUAUGGUGUGAGCCACUUGUUUGGUUAUAGUGCGUGCUAUGUGGAUAUCUGUUUGAGAUGCUUGUUCUCAUUUGAUGUAUGCUUGAUAUUUUGUAUGCUUGUAUGCUUGCUUCUUUCCUGGAUAGGAGAGUUUGCUUAUGCAAGUAGGAUAGAAAACUGAACUUUAGGGUAACGAUGCAUGACAACACUAGGCUCGAGUCCAGCUCCCUGGUAGUGCGUCUUCCCCCGGUUUCUGGCUGAAAUCUUUGUCCCUUUCAGGGGAACUACUCGCCCUGAUCCUUGUUCCAGACGAGGUGGAUGUAGGCAGGUGGUCGUGCGAGACCACUCCGGGCAACCUUUUCUUUUUUGCGUGUGUUUGUUUGUUAUCUGUAUUGAUGUUUGGGUUCGGAUGCCGACGUAAGCCAGUGAUUGGCUGUCGGGCUCACGUUUGCCCUUGUUGAGUGGUUUGGUUCGGAUGCCGACGUAAUUCCAUCCAGUGGUUGUCGGGCUCCAUGUUUGCCACCUUGCUUGUUUGUUGUUUGUGUUGUUUGCGUGCGCUAAGCGAACUACAGUGGCUCUGAUUCUGUUUCCAGACAAGAUAUGUCGGCAUAAGGUGCGUACCUUAUCGAGCUCGUUCCUCUUAACCCCACUGCGUUCCCUGUGUGUGUGUAGCUAGCAACCUUUUCUUUUUGUAGACGUGGAUCCGUCGAGUACGACGGACGUGAGGGGGUGCUAAUACCUUCCCUUGCGUAACCGACUCCCUUACCCUUUCUCUUUGGUCGCGAGACCAUGUUCUUUCCAGGUUUCUCUGAGCGUUUCCUUUCCCUAUUUUGGGAUAAAUAACGCGCAGUGGCGGCUCUGUGUGUGUUUUGUUUUUAGCUCGCCGGUUGAUUUUUCGCAGGAUGCGACAGUAUAUUUCGAAGUCGAAGAAGAGAAAGGUCAAACUUGUAAAUAAUAGCUCGUUACAAGCAGAAGGUACUGGAAACAUAUUUAUUCAAAGGAGAAAUAAAGGAAAAUAUAUGAUCAAUGAUGUACUAUAUGUACCUGGAAUGAAUUGCAACCUACUAAGUUUUAGACAACUGGUAGAAAAAGGUUUCUCAGUGGUUAUGAAAGAUGGAGCCUUGGAACUGUUUUACACCCGAAAUAGUUUGGUCUUAAAAUGUCAUAUGUCGAAGAACACGACAUUUAACACCAUGAUCAGUUCAAAUGAGGUACAAUGCCUCAAAAUAAUUGUCAACCACAAGAAUAGUUGGUUGUGGCAUUUGAGGUUUAACCACUUGAAUUUUAGGUUACUCAAUAAAAUUAUUACUCAUGACAUGGUAACUGGUAUACCAAGUCUUGAGAUGCCCGACAAACUCUGUGAAGGUUGCUUAGUAGGAAAGCAAUCCAUAAAGUAUUUCAUAUUUACUAUGCUAAUGAGGUCCUCUUGCAUACUAGAAGUAGUAGAUUCAUAUGUAUAUGGCCCAUUUGAAGAUCAUACCAUUGGAGAAAACAUGUAUUUUGUCUCAUUUGUCGAUGAGUACAGUCGAAAGUUUUGGAUCUAUGUGAUCAGGCGCAAAGAUGAAGUAUUUUCAAUCUAUAAGAGAUCCAAAAUGCUUGUCGCAAACCGGAAUCAAAAGAAGACCAAAGUUAUGCGAAUAUAUGGAGGUGGCGAAUACACGUCCAAUACGUUUGAAGAGUUAUGUGCAGAACAUGGUAUAAAUCAUGAGAUAACUUCUCCUUACACUCCUUAACAUAAUAGAAUAGUAGAAAGAAGAAACAAGACCAUAUUGGAUAUGGCGAGAUGCAUGUUGAAGCAGACGAAUUUGCCAAAUUCCUUAUGGGGUGAAGUUGUAACCACUGUUGUUUAUAUUCUGAAUAGGUGCCCUACCAAGUAACUGAAGAACAAGGUUUCUAAAGAAGUGUGGAGUGGAAAACGACCAUCAGUGAGUCAUCUAAAGGUGUUUGGCUCUAUUUUCUACAAGCAUAUUCCUGAUGCAAGAAGAAGGAAACUUGAUGAUAAAAGUGAACAUAUGAUUUCGGUAGGAUAUCACAAAACUUGAGCAUACAUGUUAUUCAAUCCAAUCAAUGAUAAAAUCGUAAUGAGUUUAUAUAUUGUGAUUGAUGAAAAUUGUGCUUGGGAUUGUAAUUCUGGUGAUGUAGUUAACAAGCCUUUUAUGAGUUAUGACGUUGAUGAAGAAACUAAUGAAGUCGAAGUAGAAGCAAUUGUUGAUAUUCCAGACACAUUCGAAGUUAAAGAGGGUGUGGCUAGAACAAGCCAAAGACCUCAAAGAACCAGAGUACUCCCAGGAAGGCUUCAAGACUAUAAAGUAGUUAGUGAUGAUGAAGUCACAAUAGAUGGGGAAUUAGUUCAUUUCAUUUUACUUGCAGGUGUUGAGCCAAUCAACUAUAGUGAGGCCUUAAGGGAUAAACAAUGGAAGGAAGCUAUGGUCGAAGAAUUAUAAGCGACCGAAAGAAAUAAUAUCUGGGAGCUAGUCGAAUUGCCCCCACACACAAAACCUAUCAAAGUGAAUUGGGUGUUCAAGCUAAAGCACAACCCUAAUGGGUCGAUUACAAGACAAAAGUUAAGAUUAGUAGCUCGAGGAUUUCUUCAGAGAGCAUAACUCGAAUACUCUAAAGUAUAUGCACCAGUAACAAGAUUUGAAAUUGUAUGAUUGGCGGUACAUGAGGUCAUGUAUGUCACACAACCUCCUAGUUUUGUGAUACAUAAGGAAGUGAGGAAAGUGCAUAACUUGAACAAAGCCCUAUAUGGUCUCAAGCAGGCACCUAGGACAUGGAACAAGAAGAUCGACUCAUAAUUGGUCGAAUUGGGAUUCAUCAAAUACAAGUCUGAGUAUGGUGUUUAUGUUCAAGUUGUGGCACAAGAUAUAACAACCAUCUGCUUAUAUGUCGAUGACUUACUAGUAAUUGGAAAUAGCUUGGAGAAUUUGUCGAAGUUCAAAGAGAUGAUGAAGAAGGAAUUUGAAAUGUCGGAUCUAGGAAAGUUGCCAUACUUACUAGGCAUAUAAUUUCAAAUGUUGAAGCAAGGUAUGGUGCCACAUCAAAGAAAGCAUGUUAAAGAGAUACUCAAGAGAUUCAGGAUGGAAGACUCGAAUCAUGAAUCCUUACAUGUCAAAGAGAUACUCAAGAGAUUCAGGAUGGAACCAAAUUUGAAGCUGGAGAAGCAUGAAGAGCAAGACAAGGUAGAUGUGACUUUUUCAAACAAAUUAUCGGAUCUCUGAGAUAUGUGUGCAACUUUCGACCUGAUAUAGGUUUCUCAAUAGGAUUAGUGAGCAGAUACAUGGAUGAACCAAAGGUGUCUCACAUGAAGACUGUAAAAAGAAUCUUAAGAUACUUAAAAGGAUCAACAAACUAUGGAAUUCUAUUUUGACGAGAUUCUGCAAGCAAAGAAGUUGUGAUUAAUUUCUAUUCAAAUGUUGAUUGGUGUAGAGACAGGGAAGAUCGAAGAGGCACAAUUGAUUACUUCUUUCAAGUAUUUGGUGCCCCAAUCUCAUGGUGCUCGAGAAAGCAACCUGUGGUGGAAUUAUCAUCAUGUGAGAUUGAAUAUAUAGCAGGAUUCUAUGUUAUUUGUUAAUAAAUUUGGAUCAGAUCUGUCCUGGAAGAGAUGGAGGUCGAAGUGAAGAAACCUCUGGUGCUGCAGAUCGACAACAAGUCAGUCAUUAAUUUUGCAAAGAAUCCAAUUCUACAUGGAAGGAGUAAGCACAUUAAGUCUAGGUUUCAUUUCCUAAGGGAUAAGGUAAACCAGGGUGAACUUAAAGUUAGGCAUUGCUCGAGUAAAGCACAGUUGACUGACAUUUUUAGCAAAGGACUGAAGAUCAACAUAUUCCUAACUUUGAGAAAGAAAUUAGGAAUAACUCAAUUCGACUAUGAUUAGUUUGUGUUCGACAACUUGGAUUAUAAGGGGGUAUGUUGUGAUGUAAUCCAAGUUGUAACCCAAGCCCAAGUUAGUUAGGGUUAGGGUUUGUUAUGUUAGUUACUUAGUAUACAAGUAACAUAGAUGUAUAUAUACACAUAAUUGUAAUUCAAUUUUAACAGCUUACAUAAAUAACAAUUCAUUAAUUACUUUUCAUUCUCUCUCAUGUCUUCUCUCACUCAAAUUGCCUGACGUACUAACAUAUGACGUUAAAUUCCUUUGGGGUGACUAUAAUGAUAGACUCACCAAGUAGAAUAAUUUUCAUUUUUAUGAUCUUCUAUGUAAUAUUCACUAGAUCAAGUAAGGUGAACCAUGUGUAUGUAAUUCUUACACCAAUUUUAAGAUCUCAUGGAAUUAGUCCUAAGCCUUACUAACAAUUAUAGAUUUUCCAUGUAUUGUUUGAUAAAGUGUGGAUCUAUCAAGAACAAGAAAGAUUAAUGCAUGUGUCAUUUUUAUUGGACUUUUCAAGGGUUUGAGUGGUGUUGGUGUCACUACAAAAUCCAAAAAUCUUCUCAUGGAACUUUUUCCCAACAAUAAUAAGGUGUAUUUUUUAACUCUACAAUAAGAAGUUAAUAUCAAUUAUUUUUACCCAUUGAAGAUGACAUAGUAAUCCAUAGUUCUUUCAAUCCUAAUUUCAAUAAUAAAAUUAAUGGUGGGCAUGAUAGUCAGAUUAUGUCGAUUGAAUAUUGAGGAUAUAAUUUAUCAUGAUACUGAAUUCAUUGUAUUUAACUUGGUCAGAUUAUUGAUCAUUGUUAUCUUAUAAAGGUUCCAUAUUAGGAUAUCAAUUAAAGCAUAUGGAUUCAAUUAACUUAGUUAGUCUUGGUUAUGUUGAUAACAAUUGUCUCAUAAGCAUAAUAAGCAUCUCCCCAUUGUUACAGCUUAAUGAUUUGACUUUAAAGAAAAUGUAAGCGGAAUAUUGAGUUUUAACCCACAAUGUCAUUAUUGUUGGGAAACAAGUGUUAGUUAUGUUGAGAAAUAAGUGUGUGUUCUAAGUCCCAUAUUGCUUAGAAUAGUGGAGGUUGAGAAUUUUAUAAGUAAGAGGACCCAUACACCUAUCACCUUAAGGUUUUGGGUGAAUAUGUAGUAUCUCUCUCACUUGUUUAGGUGAGUCUUCAGCCUUUAGGUGAGUGUUUUAUCCAAUGUAAAUGUUUCUCCCUCGUCAUGACCCAUUAGUGGUAUCAUAGCCUGGUUCGAGUAAGGGACCGACUCAUUGUGUCGAAAGUCUUCUUGACAUGGUGGUCAGACGGCGUGUCCCAUUGAAGUGUCCAUGACGAGUAAGGGUGUCUGUCAAUGUUGGUACAAGCAUGUGGAUGAAAAAGCUUUUUCUUGAGAGGGAGCAUAGUGGAUGGACUCAUACUUGAGAGGGAGAUUGUUGGGAAACAAGUGUGAGUUGUGUUUAGAAACAAGUGUGAGUUCUAAGUCUGACAUUGCUUAGAAAAUUGGUGGUUAAGCACUUUAUAAGCAGGAGGACCCAUACACAUAUCACUUUAAGUUUUGGGGUAAAUAUUUGGUAUAUCUCUCACUUGUUUGGGUGAGUCUUUGACCUUUAGGUGAGUGUUUGACCCAAUAUGAAUGUUUCCUCCUCAUGAUGACCUAUCAAUUAUGUUGGAUCUGUUCAACUUAUCCUUUUAUUUUAGAGCUCAUAUUAUUGAGUGUUAUAUACUCAUUAAGGGUCAUGUUCUCAACUAGAUCUUUUACCUCUUCUUUGGAGUUGUUUUUCGUUGUGCAUCCAGUUAAGGAUUUUAUUAGAAUUCAGGUUUAAGGUCUCAAACAUUCGGUGAAUUUAUGUAUUUGAAUCAUAGUAUCAAAAUUAUACCCCAUAAAUUUAUUUGGAAGUAGCUACACCCCCCCCCCCCUCCACACACACACACCCACACACCCACACACUCACACACCUCCUACAUUUAUUUGGAUGUGCAUGCCGUAGUCGGAGUCUGUUCUUGCAUGCAGCAUUGUAUUAGCUUGUUGUUUAAGUUAACAUGUUGAGUCAGGCCAUUUUGUUGGGCCAAUUGUUUAGUAUGUUAGUUGAAAUCUAGGGUUUAGUUUUCUUAUAAAUAAAAUAUUAGUUCUCACCUCUCUAUUAAUCCCUGAUAAUCCUAAUCAAAGGGAGAAAGUGGUGUGGUUGAGAUUCAAUUAUAAACAUUGUUCCUGAAUGUGUAAUUGAAUCAAGAAUUCAGUUUUAACCACUUUGAUUGUUCUUUAUUUUCUCUUCUCUCUUUUCUUUUCCUUUGUCAUUUUCUUGUUAAUCAAGAAAUCAAUCAUGCUUUGUUUUUUGGGCAUCGCUUUCACAAAAAAUUGGUGAGGUGAGCAUGGAGGAGAAGAUGUCGUCAACAAAGUAUGAGAUUGAGAAAUUCACAAGUGUGAAUGAUUUUGGUUUGUGGUGCUUGAAGAUGCAAACCCUAAUGGUUCGGCAAGGUUUGUUAGAAGCAUUUUUUUAAAGGAUUAGAGAAAAUGGAUGUUUCCCUAACGGAGAAGGAGAAGAUGACGAGUUGUUACAUGAUACGUACCACCUUAGGGUCAUAUGAGAUUUUGGAGAGCUACGGUAAUUACAAGCCUAGAUAGCGCCAAUCUAUAAAGUCCAUAGUACGAUUAUAUUGAACUUGGUGAUAAGGUUCUCCAACAGGUUUCAAAGGAGAAAACUAUGUUGGGUGUAAGUGUGAGUGAUUAAAGCCCCACGUUACCUAUGAAUGGGUGGAAUGUUAGAUUUAUUAUUUACCUGACAUCUUAAGCUUUUGGGUUGAGAUGUGGCGUCUACCUCUCAUGUGGUCCUGGAGCAUUAGUCUCAUUGGUUCCCCCGCCAACCUCAUACUCCCCAACAUGGGUAUCAGAGCCUAGUUCAUCUUUGUGGGGGCACGAGAGUUGUAUCCAGUGUUGGAUCACAUUAUAGGAUAUGGGAGACUCACACUUGUGGGGGAGAAUGUUGGGUGCAAUUAUGAGUGAUUAAAGCUCCCACAUUGCCUAUGAAGGGUAGAAUGUUGGAUUUUUAAGAGAGAGAACCCAUUUACCUAACACCUUAAGGUUUUAGGAUAUGGCGUCUCUCUCUUGUGGCCCUGGAGCAUUAGUUAGAUUGAUGCUCCCGCCUACCCCGGACUCCCCAGCAAACUACAGCAGGUGUGUGGAGCAAACUCGAGGGUUUGUAUAUGACCAAAUCUUUGGUAAGUCGCCUCUACCUGAAGCAAGCUUUGUAUUCAUUCACGAUGAGUGGAGACAAAAUCUUGGUUGAGCAGUCGCAUAUGUUAAAUAAGUUGAUUCUUGAUCUUGAAAAUAUUGAGGUCAUGAUUAAUGGCGACGAUCAAGUAUUAUUGUUGUUGUGUGAUUUACCUAAGUCUCAUGCUCAUUUCAAAGAAAGUCUCUUGUAUGGAAGAGAUUCAUUAACCUUUGAAAAAGUUCAAUUAGCCAUGUACUCUAAGGAUUUGACCAAACAAAAGGAGCACAAUCCAUCGUCUGUUGGUGAAGAUUUUUCUGUUAAGGGGAAAUUAUCAAAGAAAAAUGGUAAGUUGGAGAAGAAGAAAGGUAAAGUUCUACAGAAUUCUUAUGCUGGUAAUGCUCAUGCUAUAAGGUGUUAUCACUGUAAGAAGGAGGGUCAAUAAGAAAGAUGUGCUCUAAACCUUUUAAUAAUCAUGGUGGAAAGGAUAAUGGUAAUGAAACUAUUGUGCAAGAUGGUUAUGAAUCAUCUGAUGUCCUAGUGGUUUCAAGCAGCGACUCUAGCAAGGAGUGGAUUAUGGAUUCAGGUUGUACUUGGCACAUGAAUCCAAACAAAGACAUGUUUGAGGGAUCAUGUGACCAAGAUGGUGGAUCACUACUGCUAGGAAACAAUAAAACUUGCAAAAUUACAGGUAUUAGAUAUGUGAGAUUCAAGCUCUAUGAUGAGUCAAUAAGGCUAUUGACUGAUUUCGGGUAUGUACCUGAUAUUAAGAGGAAUUUUAUCUCUCUUGGUGAAUUCGACAAAAAAGGAUAUGUUUUCAAAGGAGAGCAAAGUAUCCUAAGGGUAAUGAAGGGGUCUAAGGAAGUCUUGAGAGGCAUGAAGAAACAAGGCAUGUAUACCAUUGAGGUUGAGGUUGUAAAUGUAUUAACAAAUUUUGCCUCUACGAAACAUGUGUCGAAAGCAAAAUUGUGGCACAUGAGAUUGGGCCAUGUCAGUGAAAGGGGUGUUGUUGAACUGGGGAAGAAACACUUCCUAGAAGAUUAUAAGAAAUUUUAUAAGAAGGAGAAAUAAAGGAAUUGAGAAAGGGAAGCUGGAGUUCAUAGUGUGUACCUGAGGAUUUUCGCUCCUCCUUCAUCUUCACCUUCGAAUUCAACAACCACCGAGGAACUCCUCCUCCUCGUAGGUAGGAUUAUUUGAUUCCACUUCUGUUUCGCUUCAUUUCUAUUACCGUCAUGUAGCCUGAUGUGUGUGGAAGCAAAGCCCCCACACACUGGGCUUUGAUUCCACUUGUUUCUCGUUUAAUUUUAGAAAUAGGAAUCUAGGGUUCAUCACAUUUUUGGUUCGGUUUAAAUGUUUGGUUAAGAAUUAGUGAAAUUGAACGUGAUAGAGUGAGAAAUGGGGACGAGACGUUUACAAUGGUGUUUGGUUUGAGGUCAUUGGCCCUUCGCCGUCGUAGGAGACGAUUUCCGGCGCGGUAGAGCUAAUGAACUUCGGCCAAUGUUAUUUGAGGAUGUGUAUGUUGAACUGAAUUGAGAGAAGGGAUUUAAUUAUUGUUGAACCUAUCCUCCCUCUCAUUUGGUGUUGGUUCUGCAUUGGGCCUUAGGCCCAUGGUUACAUUUCUAACAGACGUACAUGCUCUAUUACACCUCAUACUCUCUUGCAGUCAUUUGAUUCCUUCCUUAACCUUGAAUAUCCACUUACAACCGACUAACAUGGCCCCUGCAGGUUUCUUGAUCAUCUCCUGGGUGUUGUUAUCAUGAAGAUAUUUCAUCUCAUCAUCCAUGGCUUUCAUCCAUUUGGUCUUGUUUCGAUCCCUCGUAGCUUCCUUGUAAUCUCUAGGUUCUUCAUCAAAGAUCUCACUUGCAGAGAUUAAGAAGAAUGUGAUGACAUCUGCAUAACCAAAUCUCUGAUGUGGCUUGAUGACUCUUCUCAACCUAUAUCUUGUUAGAAGGUAGUCAUUAUCAGUCUUUUCAUCUUCGACAGUAACUUCAGCUUCUUCUUCAACUUCAUCUGGGUUAUACAACUUAGCAUCAAAUGUUCCACCUCAACAUAAAUCUCUUCCUAUUCCAAAUAUUCUUCAGAGAUCUUGGUACUUUGACCAACAUCAUCAGUUUUCUUAAACACCAUUUCUGCUUCAUUAAAAACUACAUCUCGACUUGUGAUACACCUCAUGUGAGCUGGAUCUAAGCACCACAACCUAUAAGCUUUGACUCCUUCAACAGAUCCAAGGAACAUACAUUUCAUAGCACUAGGUUCGACCUUAUCUUGCCUAAUGUGAGCUUUGGCUAAGCCGCGAAAUACACUAAGUCUGUCUAGAUUAGGUGGAUGUUUCGACCAAACUUUUUCAGGUGUUUUCAUCCCCAAAGUUGUCGAGGGACACCUAUUUAUCAAGUAAGCUGCAGUCAUGAUUGCCUCAGCGCAUAACACCUACUUCAAUCCCGCACUAACUAACAUGCACCUCACUCUUUCCAAAAUGGUUCGAUUAAACCUUUUAGCCAAACCAUUUUGUUAAGGAGUCCAUGCAGUAGUUUCGUGCCUUACAAUACCAGACGCAACACAAUAAGUGUCAAAAUCCUCAUUGUAAAAUUCAAGACCAUUCUCGGUCCUCAACCUCUUGACCUUCUUGCCAGUUUGGUUUUCGACCAGGGUCUUCCAACUCUUGAAAAUUUUAAAAGUUUCAUCCUUAGCUUUCUGAAUGAAUACCCAUAAAUUUAUGGAAUAAUCAUUAACUAUGGAUAGGAAAUACUUUUCACCUGAGUGUGAAGGAUUCCUUUGUAGGCCCCCAAAGAUCAGCAUGCAUAUAAUCAAGGGAUUCGUGUGUUCUUUGUUUAAAUUUGUUAAACUUCAUUCUACAUGAUUUACCAAAUACAUAAGGUUCACAAAACUCUAGUUUUUUUACCUUUUCGCAAUAUAACAGAUUUUGUUUCAACGAUUCGACCAAGCAUCUUUCACUAACAUGGUGUUAGCUGAGAUUUCGAUGCCAAGGUUGGAUUAAGUAUGAUGGGAAAAAGAAAUAUUUUUAAGAUGUUUUGACUUUGACAGGAAGUAUUUCUGGAGAUCUUAGUCGAAUAGGUCCUUUGUAUAAGAGGGAAAUGCUAGUUUUAGGACUUAGAAAUAUUUUUAAGUUUAGACUGCAACUUUGACGAAAGCAAUAUUAAGGUUGUGUUCGAUGAAAGGUUUUAAAUUUUGAAUAAGGAUGAUAAUUGUCUUUUUUCCUUAUCCAUUUAUCUAAAAUGACGCGUGUAAAGUUAUGGCGAAGUGAAGGCAUGCAAGCGAAAUGUGUCAUUUUCUGGAGAAAAGACCGUUGAUAACGGUUAUUUUCGACUUAGUAUAAAUAGAGGUCUUAGUGUAUAGGAUUUCCGUGUGUUCAAUCAUUAUACAAAUACUCACAAAUUACUCUAAGUAUCUAAGUGUGUUUGAGAAACGAGUUCGUUGAGAAUGUACGUAUGAAUCACCAUAUUUUCAUUUCACUUGAAGUCAUUUGCAGUUUAUCAAUUAUUUUUUCUUAUUGCAAUUUACUUUGAAUUUCUUUAUUGCAACUCCGUUACAAAUUCUGCAUUUACUUUUAAACUUUAAACAACAUUCUCAAAUCAUGGGCAUUGUCGAAGUGUUCAUAGACUUUCAAAUAUAAUUUAACAAGAGCACAUGUUCUAGGAUUCACUGGUUGAUCCUAUAAAGUUAACCAUUUUGGAGACCAAAGUUUGUUUACCAAUUUUCAUGGUAAACACAUGACCAAGUCUCUUGUGCCAUAGCUCAGUCUUCGACACGGGUUUUAUGGAUGACACGUCUGUUGAACCACUUACAACCUUAGCCUCAAGGGUAUAUAAGCUUUGUUUCUUCACGCCUCUCAAGACUUUCUUCGACCCCUUCAUUACCCUUAGGAUACUUUAUUCUCCUUUGAAAACAUAUCAUUUCUCGUUGAAUUCACCAAGAGAAAUCAAAUUUCUCUUAAGAUCGGGUACAUACCUGACAUCACUCAAUAACCUUAUUUACUCAUCAUGGAGCUUGAAUCUCACAGAUCUAAUACCUGCAGUUUUGCAUGCUUUGUUGUUUUCCAACAACACUGAUCCACCAUCUUGAUCACAUAAUUCCUCAAACAUAUCCUUCUUUGGAGUCAUGUGCCAAGUACAACCUGAAUCCAUAAUCCACUCCUUGCUAGAGUCGUUGCUUGAAACCACCAGGAUAUCAGAUGAUUCAUAACCAUCUUGCACAAUGGUUGCAUUACCACUAUCCUGUCCAUAAUGAUUAUUCAGUUGAUCAGGGCAUACUUUUCGUAUGUGACUCUCCUUCUUAUAAUGAUAACACUUAAUGGUGAGAACAUUACCAUCAUAAGAAUUAUGUAGAACUUUACCAUUCUUCUUCUCAAACCUACCGUCUUUCUUCAAAAAUCCCCCAUUAACGGACAAACCAUCACCAACUGUCAAAGGCUUUUGUUCCUUUCAUUCGUUCAAGUCCUUAGAGUAUAAAGAAAAUUGAACAUAUUCAAAGGUCAACGAAUCACUUUCAUACAAGAGAGUUUCUUUGAAGUGAGCAUGAGACUUAGGUAAAGAAUACAACAGCAUGAGUGUUAUAUCUUCAUCAUCAAUCUUGAUCUCAAUAUUUUCAAGAUCAAGAAUCAACCUGUUGAACAUAGCGACCUGCUUAGCCAAGGCUUUGUCUUCACUCAUCUUGAAUGAAUACAAAGGUUGCUUCAGGUAGAGGCGAUUGACCAAUAAUUUGGUCAUAUACAUACCUUCAAUUUUUAUCCAUACAUCAGUUGCAGUUUUCUCCUUUGAAUCCUGUCGGAGAACCUUAUCAUCAAGGCUCAAUAUAAUGGCAUUGUGGGAUUUUUUGACCACCGUUGUCUUCUUCUUCUCUGAUAGGGCAACAUCCAUCUUGUCUGCUCCUUUCAACGCUUCUAACAAACCUUAUUGAAUAAUAAAGGCUUUCAUCUUCAAGCGCCAGAAACCAAAAUCAUUCACACCAGUGAAUUUCUCAAUCUCAUAAUUUGUUGAUGACAUCUUCUUCUCCAUGCUCACCGCACCAUUUUGUUAUGAAACGAUAUUGUCAAUAACAGAACAAAAUUGAGAUAAAGAUUGAGUUUCUUGAACAAACACAAAAAAAACUAUUUGGUUUUACAAAAGGGAGAAGAAGAAUUGGUUGAAAUUGUUUUACUAUUCACUUUCUCAAUAAGGAUUAAAGAUUACAAGUGAACAACAAAAACUAACAUCUCUCAACAACCUGAGAGAACUAGUUUAUUUAUAGACUACUAAACUAACAUGAGCACCAAACAAACUUAAACAAUUGGGCUUAAAUAAAGAUCUAAUUCGACAUACUAACUUAGAAAACAAGUUAACAUAUUUCGACAACAUGCUUGAAAAGACUUCGACUAUAGCAUACACAACUCUUGUAGAAAUAUCAAGUUAUCCCUGUCGAGAUUAAAGUUCAAUCCAAAUUAUCAUAACUAUAACAUUUAUCAAGCAUGUUCGAAGCCUCCUUUGAAGAUGUUGAUUAUGAUAUUUUUUCAAAUAUCUUUUAUUAACACUUUGAUGAAUAUGGAACAAUGUUUUUUAUCUUUCUUUUCAAUUCUUUGAAAAAUUGCAGGCAGGGCUUCUGUUUGGAUUUCAACCAAAUGAUGGAGACCUUCAUCACAUAUUCAUUCACAUCUUGAACAUUUAAUAUUACCUUCAUCUACUUGCACCAGGUAUUUUAAUUCUUGAUGGUAGAUUUUAUGAAAAUUUGUUGUUCUCCAGCAUAUCUUCAAUCACUAUUCUUUAUCACAAAUCGAAUCGAGCUCUUGAAUACCAAUUUGAUAGUGCAAAGCAAUGAAAAACUAAGAGAAUAAUUGAGUGAAUGUAAAAUCUAUUGAUCAAAGGGGCAAUAUAUACAUGCAAGUUAUGGAAGUCCCACAUCGGACAUAAUCAAAAACCAACAUAUGCUAACUAUCACAAUCAACUAACAACAUUCAAAGUUAACUUGAAUUAUUCUUUCCGUUUUAAAAUGAUUGUUGUUUAAGGUUUUUCCACACAUAUUAAGAAAUAUAAUGAUGUUGUCAUAAAAGAUUACACUUUUAUUAAAUUAAAUUUAUAAAUAUAUUGGAAGUAGUGUAUAUAGUGAAAAUUAAAUAACAAUUAAAAAAUUUUAAAAAUUUAAAAAUGAGAAUCACAUUUAUUUAAAAAAAUUGCUUGCUAAAAUGACACUAAUUUUAAAAUAGAGAAAGUACAAGAAAAAGAAAAGGGAGGGAGUACAAAUAAAAAUAUUUUAAAAAUUGCUAUUAAACAAAACAAAUAUUUUACCAAACAACAAAUAAUACCCUUGAUAUCUUCGGACUUAUUAAGAACUUCAACACUUACAAAUUCAUAUUGUCCCCAUGUUUGGGUGGACACUUCAUGCUAUCAUCUGAAAAAUUGAAUAAAAUUUGUAUUUCAUCUUUAAAUAAGAUAAGAUGAGUGUAUAUAUAUACUUUUGACAAAUUAAAAUAAAUGAAUUAAAAAUAACUAAUUAAACAUAGAUUUGUGGAUUCUCAAUCAAAUAGGCUUCAACAACUUUGCAAAUUCCAAUAGAGCUUUCCCUUCCUUCCUUGAUCUCUUCCUCUUUGACUUCAAACUCUCCAAUAGCAUUGUAUUUGCUUGUCAUCUUACAAAGACAACCUCCAUCAUUAAUGGCCUCAAACUUAACCUCAUAAGCUAUUGUCUCAAGCUUGUCACCUAAUGGAUCUCCUUCAAUCGUUGUGUAGUUGCAAACCAAGUUGUCACUAUCAAUCUUAUCAAUCCUAUUUUUUAGAUAUUUGAAAGGACUAGCUGCAUCAAAUUAAACACAUGAGAAAUUAUCCAAUCAAUAUAGUGAGAAAAUAAUUAGUUUCCCUUAAAGGGUUAUUUUUUUGCUAACCAUCAGCAAAGUUAACUUGUUCAAUGCUUCCAGCUUCACCAUUUCCUUGGAUUAAGUUGAUAUCUUUUAUAAACUGAGGUAAGAGUUUUGGAAGCAAAUUGCUAGAGUCUGUGAUUAAAGCCUUGAACAUGCGUGAUGGAGCAAUAGGGGAUUUAUAAUCAUGUGUGAAGGUUGAGACUACCAUGGUGAAAAGUGUAUAUAUUACAGAAAUUACAACAACAACAACAAAAAUCAAGUUUAUGAAUGUUGGAUAUUGAAUAACUUGAAUUAUGAGAUAGAGCACUUUUAUAGCUAUAUAUUAUUACCAUAUAGUUCUAUUUUAUGAAGUAGGUUUCGUAUGAAUGAUCUAUUUUGAUGGAUACAGAAAAUAUUUUAGUUUGCGGCCAUGGAAAAUGGACAUUUCUUUGGUAGUUAAGAAAAGGAAUUUUUUAUUUGAAGAUGUUCAAUAUUAGUGGCUGUUGGAUGAGAUAUUAAUUUCAUAUAUUCAAAUAAUUGUAUGAAUCAAACUUAUGGAUGAUAUCCAAACAUAUUUGUAUUAAUCAGGACUUAUACAAAUCCCAUGGGCGGCUAUUGGUUGAACCAAGUCAUUACUAUAUUUGUCUUAAUCAAACAUUUUAGUGUUCGUAUUAAACAUGUGCUUCACCUACUACUUGUAUAGUUUGAAAUUUGAAUCCCAUCACAAUCAUAAGUAUUUACAUUUAAAUUUCCUAGAAUUAUGACAACUUAAUUAGUUCCUCAUGUUAUCAAAGCUCGUCUGCCUUUUGAAACCACCUUGUGGUAGAAAAUACUAAUUCUUAAGAAAUCAUAUUUGUUUUCUCCAUCGAUUUCUAAGGUUCCAUCCAGAUAUGAUAUGACUUUUGAAACCACCUCGUGGUGGCAAACUUGAGCUCUCGGUAAGCUAGGCUCUUUAUUGUUUUAUCUCGUCUUGCAUGCUUAACCCAUAGAUGGAGAAAUUGAAUAACAUUUAACUUUAAAAGGAGGAAGAUGAUGGUGUGAUGGUGGAUGAGGAUGUAGAAAUCAAAGAUGAAAUAUUAAAAAACAAAACCUAGUUGGAAAUUUAUGGGAUUUAUACUCCUUCAAUACCAGAGUCUUCAAGAGCAUCUUGUGAUUUGAUCAUAAUAUUAAAGUCUUCCAAUACUUAUGCGAGUACAAGAAGAGUGAAUCGACUCUAAUAUUUUUUUUUAACAUUCGAUGUACUUAAGCCGACUUAAAUAGGGGCAAGGUUUGCUCUUCCUUAGGCAAAGCAGGAAGAUGUUUAAGGUAUAUACUGAGAGUCUGAGAAGCUUCAAAGACAAACACUACUUGGUGAAACCUCUAACUAGUACUUCUCACGAGAGUAUAUGUGAGAUCUAAUUUGAUGUUCCUUCAAUGUGUACUGAAAAAUUUCCUAAGUUCUUGUGCCAAAACCAUUUCUUGGUAGGACUAGGGACAUGCAUAUAUACGCAUGGAGACUUAUCUUAAGAGGAAAAGUAUUUGAAGAAUAAGUUUACGGCUUUCUUAGAAGGCCUUGGUUAGUUAGGUCAUCGGGUUCCGUGUCCGGUAAGAGAAAGAGGUGAUACAUUGAGACAGACAGGUGUAACAUCUUUGAUAUGAGUGAAAAGUUUCUAUGUUCAUUUAAUCAAUUUGUAUCAAGGUAAUCUACACAUUUUACUUUCUUUUGCUUUGUCUUAUAGAUAUGAUGGGUUGUCUUAAAAUGAUGUUCUAGAUGAAUAGAAUGUAAAGAAAUAUGUCUUCAACAUCUGAUGUUGUCAUUGUGACACCUCCAUGGAAGUCUUCUUCCAAGGUAGUUCUUUCUAAUAUGACCUUUUGAGCUCUCCAUUAGCCAAAUAACAUAGGCCACGAGGUUCUCCUUGGUCCAUGUGUGAUCAAGUCAACUACAAGGGUCUUUAGGUCGUCUUGAGGGUGAGGAUGUCACUAAGUCAUUGACAAGGAUAUCUGGUAAAGGUUUGAGAAGGAAUGGUAUUAUGGUAAUUCCUCUUUUGUUGAGCUCGUCUUCAAAAUACCUAAAGACGGGGGUUGGAUUUCAGAAGGUUGGAUUAUGAGGGAAGCCCGAUGUCGUCCCUAUCAAACAUCUCUUCAUCAUUCCUUGCUCGUCCCAGUCCAAGAACGGCUAGACAACUUCGGUCUUAUGCUUUUGAAGAAUAUUACGUGUAAUUUGCAAAUAAAGUUGAAGUGGCAUGUUAAGAAGAUAUGGAAGAGAUAUUGUUCCAGAUGUGCAAAGUUAUUUUUAUUUUGGCUUUUGGAUCCGUAUGGAAGGUGAAGUCCUAGCGCCUGAGUUUCUUUUAAAGAAAAAAAGAAAGGCUUGAAGAGUGUCUUGGUGUUCUUUUUAUUGAAAGGUAUAAUAAGCUUCUUAGUGAACUUGUUGGGUCAACUAAUCUUUUGAAGUAAAUAUUUGACAAGGUGUGAACAUUUAGCUACCCCUCUUUAUUAAUUAAGAAGGUAAAUACAUUGGAUUUGUGAAUAAAGGAGGGGGAUAUGACCUUAACGUCAAUCUAGAAAUCAUUUUUUGAACAAAGAAUGGGUUAGCUGAUGUAAAUGGGGCUUUAGAUUUUUCUCAUAAGAUAGUAUAGGAGAUGGAGUAAGCCAUGAGUGGUUUAAAAUAAGCUCAAGAUGUGUUGCAUGAGAUGUAGUAUGAAAAGGUUCAUUUGAUCAAAGAGUAUGCAAAAAUUUUGGAGUUUAGUUUCUCAAUCAAGCAUGUGGAUUUCAAGAAUGUCUUGAGGCAGGUGUAAUUCUUAAAUUGCAUAGUGAAUAUCUCGAGGGAGCAGAUUUAUCCUAAGUGGAAAAUAGUGGACGAGAGAGUGGUCGUUCAUGUUGAGAAGUCCUUCUUAUAAGUCGUGUAUUUUUUGUGUGGACAAUGUUCCUUUCGGGCCAUCUUUGAUAUAAUAUUGAGGAGUGUGCCCAGCCAAAGGCAUGCUCCUCUUUCCUCUCCCAGAACGAAAACUUGGUUCAAUAUUAACAUGAUGUGGCUUCACCUUUAACGCUCUGGAGUGGUUAGCUACCAAGAAGGGGUGAGCCUGAAUCACCACCUUCGUGUUCGAGGUUUUAAUAUCCUUGAUUGAGUGACUACUUAUAAUUAGGGUUUGAUUGCUUUAGUCCUGCACUCGUGGUGUUUAUGACAACAGCCAUUAUUUUCUUUGAUUUAGACUUUGUACAGAUCGAGAACAGACAUGUCUUUCAUAUAACGAUACAUAAAAAAGUUUUCAUGCAAAAAUCAUUUUUUCUUGAAAAUAAAGGAUUAGAUUGCAUGAUUUUACAUGAAUGGUAAAGACGUGUAACAACAAAAUCGACUUAAAUAUUUCUUUAUUCAUCCUGGUAAUAUUUCCUUGACAUGGGUUUGUUUGUUGCAUAAUCUCACGGUGCUAAGUCGACCAUUGGGUUUCGAUUCCAUGCUCCUGCAUAUCUCUACUGAUCUCCAACUCUUCAUAAUGCACAAAAUCUAGGACAUGGUUUAUUUUCUUCACGUCAUGUAUUGUGUCUUGUUUUGAUGGCUAAUUUGGUGUCGUUCUCCCAUAACAUUUUCCUGCACUUACUAAUUCAUGAGGUACCAUUUGGUACGUCAUGUCUUGUGUCUUGUUUUGAUGGCUAAUUUGGUGUCGUUCUCCCAUAACAUUUUCCUGCACUUACUAAUUCAUGAGGUAUCAUUUGGUACCUUCUUUCAGAACAUGGCCAUGUCGUCUGAUGAUUAAUCAUGAUUAUCUCCAAGCGUUUAAUGAGGAUCGUGAUAUUGAUUUCCAAUGGGGUACUCCUACUUUGGCUCGACGAAUGUCAUUUCCUAGCUAUGUUGUUAAGCUUUAUGUGUGCGUUGGGCUCCCGAAAAUUCGACAUAUCACGUAACCAAUUUAUCAUGAAUAUUAUGGUAUUUCAUCUUUAAGUGAACAUGAGAAGCCACAAAUUUUAAAAUUGGAUAAAAGGGUCUCUUUAAAAUGAAAUUAUACACAUUUUUUCAUGGGACCACUAAGAAUUGUAGACCUAUUGUCCGUGCAUUUCUUCCUUCAGCAAGGUGGCCAUAAGUUGCACUAAGCCCCAAAGGUGGGUCGUUGUGUCAUUGAAGUCUUGCCAAUCAGAGCCCGUAUAAGGUGACAACUUCUCCUACUUCAAUUCUAGUUUCUUAAAGAGUUUAAUGUACAUAAUAUCACAUAAAUUUCCAUCGCAAAUAAGGAUUCUCGAAAUGUCAAAGUUUUCCAUAGUUUGUUGUUAUAACUAGGGGAAGAUCUCAUUAGGAAUUCUACCUACCUUAUUGGUGUCUUUAAACCCGAGGAUGGGCAUGUUGGGUUUCUCUUCAGCAUUUUUUCUUAUUUCUUAUUGAUUGUUAUGAUCUCAACAAUUUUCCUCAUCAUCGUUCCCUCCGACGGUGUCAUCGGACAGGGAAGGCAUCUAGUAACAUAUGCGAUGAAGUUAUAUACCCUUGUGAUUAAGACUAUGAAUAAUUAUUUAGCUCUUAGAUCUUCAUCCUUAUUGUCUUAUUUAUCCUUGUCUUUCUUGGUCUUCUAGACGGCCUCAAUCAUCCUUUUUGGUGACGAUUUAUCCUUGGGAAGGACGUUUCUUAUGUGGUGAGUCAUCCAUUCUGUUGGAUUACUUGGGGAGCCUAUUCUUUCUUUAUCAACUCUUAAAUUGAGUCUCAUAUGGACGCACUUAUUUAUGUUAUGCCUAUAGAUUUUUGGGGAGGUGGAAAAACCUUAACAUGUCUUUCAUGGAUGAUUCUUAGACGUGAUGGGGCUAUCUUACUCUGGCAUCUUUGAGGUCAGUACUUGCGCACUCCUAUAAAAUAUUUUCUCUCAAAGUGUUAAAAGGUGUGUAAUAUGAAAAUCUGGAUCGUGGUCUUCGAUGAGUUUCUAUGUUUCCUUCAUCUCUAUGCUAAUGUGUACCUCUAUCUUCAAACAAACAAUUCGUCGGGUUCCCUAACACUUUGUUUCUUUUGACAUCUUCUUCCAGCAGCUUCUCUUCGUAAUUGAUAUAUGCCUUGUCACUAGUGAGGAGAUCUUUUAUGCUUCCAGAGCCCUCUAACCCUAAGUUUUCAUAAAACAUGCAGUUUAUCCUCAAUCCUUUUUUAAAAAUCCAACAUCUUAGUCUUUUAUUUGAUCUUCCUACCUUUACCACGCCUUUGUGAAUCAAUUGAUAUACUUUCUUAGGGUUUCUUUAUUUUACUGAUGGACCCCUCUAAGGACAAGUAUUGUCUUUGGUUCAUGAUUUCAUGUCAUGAAUUGAGCCAUAAAUUCAUCAUCCAGCUUCAUGAUGAGUUUAUAAAUGAAGGACAAUGAAAACUACCUUCGAUUGGCACAUUGCAUAAUUUGGGGGAUCUUGAGGUCGAAAGUAAUGGUUCUUGGCUCUUUAUGUGUCUCUUUUCUGAUAAUGAUGUGAUGGAGAUGCCUAAGACGACGAUCCUCGGAAGGUGUAUGGCUAGUGUCCCAGCCUCUAAAACCAUGAGGAAUAUAUUUCAAAUCACGAGGACGAUGGUGUUAUGGUGGCCUGAAGGCUCUCUAAUGUUGUGAGGCAGCGUUGCCGAGAAUCGCAUGAGCCAUGACUUUAAGGCUAUUGUGGUGUACUACCUCCUGUUGUGUGUAACCUUACGACAUAGCUUUUGGCUAAUUUUUUUCUACUCAAAAGAGCUUCUUGGCCGGGAAGUGUGUAUGAUGUUGUUGUACCAAAUUAUAAAUGCUUGGAACUCGUUCUCAUAGAUGACGCCUCUAUUAAGGUGCAAAACUAAUGAUUUAUGACUUAUUGAUACAAAGAUCUCUAAUGUGGCAAUGGUGGUCUACAACAUGGCGAAGCAGGGGUGUGUCUGCAAGGUUAGCACUCCAACGUUAUUAUUAGUGAGGUCAAAGAAGUAAAACUUUGCAAGAGUGAAUGAUGUUGUACCUAUUAUGGCACGUAGAUGAGUUUAUAAAUGAAGGGUGGUGAAAACCGUCCUCGAUUGAUACAUCACAUAAUUUGGGGGAUCUUGAGGUUGAAAGUAAUGGCUGAUGAUGACCAAGUAACUCAGAUCUGGUAUGCAGCCUUUUGGCGAGGGUACACCUAACAUCCACUUUUAACUUGUUAGCAUCCACUUUUGAUCGAUACUCUGAGCAUAUCUUGUAGUGUCAGGAUGAUCUGAAUUGGUCUAUUGGUGUUGGGUCGGUCUUGCUCGACUGUUUAGCCGACCCGAAAUAGUAUGAAAUUGCUAUUAUUUCUUUUAGAUAUUUAAAUAAAAAUAUUUUUAAAAAAAACUUUAUUUUUUGCAAUUUUUUCACAUAAUACAAGGAAAAUGCAUAAAUCAAUUUACAAGCUAAAUAACCUCUUGCAAGUUGAAAAACUUCCGCUAAAUGUAAAAAAAAAAAAAAAAGUUAUUAGGUAAUUUUUAUCAAAACUUCUUCAUAUUUACAUAAAAAUGUGAAGAAAAAAAGCUUCUUUAUUUUUAAACUAAGUAUUUUUACCGUAUUAUUAUUUUAUUACAUAAAAAAUGUAAAAAUCAUUUUAUAGAAAAAAAAUUAAUUUGUUAUCUUUAUUAUUUAAUCUUUGGAUUUAAUUGAUAUACAUUGACGGUGUAAAAGGAUUUUACACCGUCAAUUAAUCUUAUCCGUUGGAUAUUGAAAUAAAUUUGACUUUUAUUUUAAAAACCUAUAAAGUAAUGCAAACGGGUGAUGGUGAUGAAUCGACAGUGUAAAUCUUAUUACACUGACAGUGCAUAGUAAUUAAUCUCUUAAUCUUUAUCUUUUUCCUACAUAUUUAUGCUAAUUAUAAAGAAAAUACAAAAUAUAUAUAUAUAAUAUAUAUAUAUAUAUAUAUAAUAUAUAUAUAAAUAUAUAAUAAUAUAUAAUAUAUAACAGUUUAAUACUUUUCAUUCUAAUUAUAAAAAUCAUAUUAAAUUGCAGAAAUAAUAUAAAUUUGACUUAAUUAUAGUUUUGGUCCCCCUAUUUUACUUGAUUUAUAAAAAUGGUCUCCCUAUUUUAAAUUUGGCAAAAUAUCAUUUUUAGUCUCUUAACUUUACCUUGGGGUCCAUUUUAAUCCUUAACUUUUAAAAGAACCAAUGUAGUAUCUUAUGUCUUCAAACGGCGCCAUUUAGGUCUUUUCCUUCUAAUUCUCACAAAAUCAAAAUUCCAAAAAGAAAAUCUCAAAAAACUCUACUUUCAACAAGAAUUGAACCCAGUUCUACUUGGUUAGAUGAAAAGAUAAUCAUUCCUUCACUCAUCAUUUUAUCUUAUCAUAAAAACAAACUAAGCAUCUGUUUGUUUUCAACUUGGAUAUCAAAUAAAACACACACAUUAUUGAAGCUACAAUUACUUACUUUGGAAAAAUUAGGUCAAGUGAGCUUUGGGACACGAGAAUGGACGAGAUAACGCUUAACCAAACAUAUAUUAAGUGUAUAACUUCUAGUACACCAUGAUUUUAGCAUUUUUCAAAUAUACUUUCAUAUCCCAAAAUUUGCCCUACUUUUUUUCUCAUUUCAUCUGACCCAUGGUUCGUUUCAUCUGCAUACUCAUGCCCUAGUCAUCUACCAUAAGAUCAUUAAUUUGCAUUUACACUCUUGCAAGAAACAUCAUUGGUUCAAAACUUUCUUAUUAUUUAUACAAGGCGCUGAAUUAUGUUAUGUAAGCUUGUGGGUUUUAUUAUACUACAUCUUGACUAUUUGGGCAUAACAAACUUGUGGUGGAUCACUUUCUUGGAUGAAGUCUUUGGGGAUCCCUAACAUGGGUCUAGACUUUUGAUUGUAUUGAAUUACAUCAUGGUUAUGAAUGGGAAAUCAUUUUUCAAGAUUGACUUUGGUCAACAAAGUCAACCAUUUUUCAAGAUUGACUUUGGUCAACAAAGUCAACCAUGUAAGAUUGACUUUUUUGUUGACCAUUUUCCCAUAAGGUUUUGCAUGGUUAAUUGAUUGGCUUUGAUUUUUUGGUUCAAGACAUUAAACUCAAAUUGAAGGACGCAAUUCAAAUCAAAGGAUUUUAAGUUCAAAUUCAAAUUCAAAUUCAAAAUCAAAAAAUUGGAGGGAAAGUACAUAGCUUGUGAAAGAGGUUACAAAUUACAUUCAAAAGGGUCCAAUUCACAUUUUGAACAUCCAAAAUUACAUUACAAAAUCCACGGUUACAAAUAUUACACACAAAAAUCACAUUUGACCUAAAGUUGACUUUUGGCAACUGUUGACUUUUGGUCAAACAGUUGACCAAAGUCAAACUGACUACCUGAGUCUAGUUUGGUCUUUAUCCUCAUUGAUUCUCCAUUUGUGUCUCCAAGUUCUUCAAUUGCUCCAUGUUCUUGAUGCAUUUCAAAACCUCUUUGUGAUUCAUGAGUCGAUGCCAAAACCUAACCUUCAAGAUGCCAUGCCAAAUCACCAUUAUGUUAUGUCAAACCAAGUUCACUUCAGCCCUGCACCAAUGAGAACUGUCAGCACACAUUCACAUGAUCAAUUAUGCUAUAUCAUGAUGCACCUCAACAUACACCUCAUGGUCACAUGCUAGCAAACCAAAACAUGCCAUUCAAUCCACAAACAUGAACACAUGCACAACAAAAUCCAACAACACACAAACACAUACAAAGCACUAAUUACUCAUGCCAUUAUGAUCCAAUUUGAUAAUAUACUUGUGCAUUCAUGACACAAACCAACCAUCCAACAUUCAUGCAUCCCAACAAGUUCAAUGGUAUACAUCAAAGUCUUAAUUAUAUCACAUUCAUAACUAACACAACAUUAAUCCGCUAACUCAGACAUUAACCUCACUAAUCAACCCAAACUGAUAUUUCUAACAUGAUUUAGCUCAUUAACAAUCAACAUAGCAGUUCAAGCAACCUAAAAUAUCCUAAUUGUUUUAACAUUUCUAACCAAAUUCUAACUUCCACUAUCCUAACUGAAUUUACUAGUUUCUAACUGAUUUAACUAAUUCUAACAGUUCACUAACAUAACAAAUAACCAUCUAACUAUUACAGUUAACAAAUCACUAACAGUUAACAAUCAUCAACUAACAUCAAAAUUGUUUUUUAUUACAUAUAUCACAUUUCAAACACAGACAAGUAAUAUCAACUAAUAGUAUAUAAUACCCUAACUAUUUUCCAAUGCUAACAUAAACUAACAAUUAUCAUCACUAACUCUUACGUUCAACUAACAGUCAAGCUAGCCUUCUGAUGAACAACUAACAUACAUAACCAAUCACAUGAUUCAACUAUUGACAGUUCAUUUCAAACCAAUCAAACUAACUAAUUUUUCAUCAUCGCAACUAACAUUUUCUCAAUCUCAUUAACAGUUCUCAUUAGCAAUUCACUAACACUCUUAGUUAUCACAAUUAACACGUUAACACAACAAUUCAACAUUCUUCAUAACAAAUAUCACCAACUCGAGCUGAACUUCCAACAUUUCCUACUAACUAUCACAAACUAAUCAAUUAACAUAACCAUAAUCUUCUACCUCCUAACUGAUUUUCCUAACACUCCUAACUAAUUCAAGCUAACCAUUAACUAAUUCAAUUCACAGUAUCACAGUGAAAAUUCCAUAAUAGUCCUAUUAACCAUAACUAACUAAUUACGAAACCAAUUCACUAACAAUUUAGUGAACCUAACCACUAACUAACCUAACCGCAAAAGUUUUAACUCAUUAACUGUCAAACUAAUAGUGUUAACUCACCCUAACUAACCUGCAAGCUAACAUUUAACUGACUCUAACAAUUGACCUAAACCUCUAACUUCCAUUGCCCUAGCUUCCCAAUUCAGUUAGCAUUGAAUCCCUAUAUAAGCUACACUCUCUUCAAUCUCCAGCAACAACAAUCACAUUCAACUUUCUGCAUAUUCUAUGAAUUCAUUAUAUCCCCUCACUUCAGAAAUUCACUCAAAGCUCUCCAUCCCUAGUUGUCAGAGCUUCAUCAAUGGAAGCUCUGAACAAUUGAGCUAAACCUUCUCUCUGCACUUUCCUCACUCAACAACAACAGCAAUACAACCAUUACUAUAGACUGUCCUGAAGAAGAAGAAGAAAGAAAAAUUUCAAGAAGCAAGAGUUUUGAAGCGCUUACCUGUUAAUAUCUCUGGGUAUCUCUCUUCCUCUGCAACCUCAUCUUCAAGUCCUUUAAUAAGUUUCAGGUUACGCAUUGACCUUGUAGGUAGGAUCUACUUUGUUCUUCCUUAUUUCGGUCCAAUUAUGUUACCAGGAUGUAGCAUUUGAGGAGGGGAAUCAAAGCCCCAAGGUCUCACGCUUUGAUUCCCCUCCUAUAUAAUUUAAUUUUUGUUUGUAUAACUAGGGUUCUUGGAGUAUUUUUUGUGGUUUGGCUGAUGUAGUGAGUUUUAAACGAAAUCAAGCUGAGAAAUAGAGAGAGGGGGUGAGAGGAAUCCAUAGGUGGUUUUAGGUUGUCGUUUUGGGUUGCUCUGCCGCCUCCGGUGCGGCGGAGCGAUUUCUGGCGAGGGUGAUAACAAUAGAGGGGAAAAGGUCUUGGUUGUGUUGAAGCUCAAAUGUUGAAUCUGAAUCUCCUCUCAAUCCUUUGCCUCUGGGUGUUGGGCUUCACUAACAUAAACCCAAAGGGCUUUGCUCCCAGAACCUCUCUUUUCUCUAAUUUACCCUCUCCUUCUAAAUUCAGCAAGGAAUAAUGGCAUGUAGGCUUAGCAAAAUGGGCCAUGCGCCCAACUGAUAAUCAAACUCCCCUUCUUCCAUACACGGUGUAUGAUACACCCCAUGGUAGAAAAAGUGAAUUUAUUUAUUAAGUUAUUUCAUUUUUUAUUUCUUUUAUUUCUUUAUUGUCACACAUUAAAAUACAUAUUAGAAAAUACUUCUUUUUAGUAGUCACAUUAAAAUAGUAUGAUUUUUAGAUUUUAAUUAGGUUAGGUCUUGAUUAACUAAUUGUUAGAAUUUCUUUUAAUGAUUAAUUAGAAAUUAGGUUUAACAUGAUUAGUUCCAAUUUUUUUUAAUGCCUUUCUUUUUCCUCAUAAUUUCAUGUGCUCAAUGUAAGAUUCUUAGCAUGUUCAUCCUAGUUGAUUAGUUGAUCAAAUUCAUUUUUGAUCAAUUGAUUAUAUUUUUGUGAAUUAGACUUACUGUAUGGUUUUCAUUAGGACAAUUGGCAUGCUUCCCUUAAUAUCCAUAUUCAUUCAAGUGAUCAUAAGUCCCUUGAUCACUUGAUUGAGUUAGACUUUUACACAUGAAUUACACUUGAUCCAUUAAGUCAAAUUCUAGUCAAUUCACAUUCAAUACCCUAGAGAUAGAAGGACAUCAGACCUGGUCAUGUUGAGCUUCAUCCAUUCAAGCACACCUUGCCUCAUUCUUUUCAAAACAAAAACUCCUUUUAAUUUCAAAACACCUCUUUAAUUAUGAUGUGAGUUGUGCUCCACGAGCCUUAAGAAAUGGAGAAGAAUGAGAGGGGUCAUUCAUAUCCUUAUUCUGAGUAUCUUUGAAUAUGGGAAGUAAGCCUCAGUUAUUCAAAGUAUUCUCCUUCAUUCAUAGAUUUUAGUACAAUUCAAAUUAAAACACUUGCCAACUUUCUUCCUUAUACCAACACUUUAACAACCAACAUCAAUAACACUUUUCUCUUUGGACCAAACAUUAUACUCUUUAAAUACCCAUGCAACUCUAGAGGUUAAUCACCUUCUCCUGGUUAAUCACUUCAUUCAUUGGUUAAUCACCUUAUCAUGGUUAAACACCCAUCUCUGAACCAUACACAACUCUUGAGUUUAAUCACCAGCUCUUAGUUAAUCACCUCCUUCAUGGUUUAAUCACCUUCUCAUGGUUAAAACCAUUUUCAUGCAAGUUUGCCUUAUGAGACUUAGUCUUAGACAAGCCCCUCUCAUGCAUGUUCGCCUUGUGAGACUCAGUUUUUGGCAAACUCCUUAUUCCCGUGCAUGUCUGCCUUGUGAGACUCAGGCUUAGGCAGACCCCCUUUUCUUUUAUGUUUACCUUAUGAGACUCAGGAUUAGGUAAAAUCUUUUGCAUGCAUGUCUAUUUUGUGAUACUUAGGCUUAGAUAAACCAUUUCAUGCAUGGUUGCCUUGUGAGACUCAGGCUUAGGCAAGCCCCAUUGAUGCAUGUUUGCCUUGUGAGACUCAUGCUUAGGAAAACUCCUCAUUCUCUUGCAUUUCUUCCUUGUGAGACUCAGGCUUAGGCACCCCCCCCCCCUCUUUAUAGGUCUUGAUCUCUGGAUCUAGGCAAAACCCUAUAACUCUGCAUUGACUAAUCACAAUCUAUUUGUUAAUUGCCACACUAUUUGGUUCAGACAUUAUUCUAUGGGUUCAAACAUCACAAUAUUGGUUCAAAUAACACCUUAACAACAACUUCACCAUUUCAUAAAUCUUUUCCAAUUCAUUCACAAACUCUUUUUCAAUUCAAUUCAAUCAUAAACCUUUUCAAAACAACAAUUUUAUUUUCAUAAAAGAACUGUUAUAAUUUGUUCCUUAGUAGUCAAACUAAAAGCUUAUAGCAUCCAAACGAGGAUCAUAAUCAACUAACGCCAAUACACUCCUAGGAUAUGAUUAUAAUUGUUCCCUAAAAACAACCAACAAAUACGUAAUUUUCUACCACGAACUGCGGAGCUCUGACUUUCUCAUUGCACUAUGAGAAUACGUAGGCACGAGGAUUUGAAUCCUUGGCGAUCACAUUAAUUAAUAAACUUAUUUUCCCCUUUCUUAAAAUCAAUAACAAGUAACCUUUAGAUAAUAACACUCAUAUACGCAAAGAAUAAUCAAAAUGGUUCUCGUUAAGUACAACGGAUGUGAUGGAUAUUAAUAUCUUCCCCUUGCAUAAUUGACUUCUUUACCUGUUUCUCUUCCUUUUGGGUUUUAUUGAUAUUUUCCCUUUCUCUUAGAAUAAAUAAAAUUCAAUGACGACUAUGUUGUAUUUCAAGUGUGUGAUACGCUCGAGUAUUUUUUACGGUGCGUCACAUACUAGUUAUGGUUUUCUUAUUAAGCAUUACUAUUGAUUGGUCAAGUAAGAUUCUUGUUUUUGUUUUGAUUUCUUGGUCAAACAACACUAUUACACUACUACAAAAUAAAUCUUUCGUAAUACUAAAUUACAAUGGUCUGACAGUUAACCAUGGUAAUACCUUUGGACGCGCUUUGUUUUUUUAUAUUUACGGGAAAAAAACAUUGCAGUAUGGUCAAACUAAUUAACUGUGUUUAUACAUUCAUGGAGUGACAUGGUUCGAAUCUCAGCUCCAAUAAUUUUUUACUUUUUUGUUAUAAUGAGUGUUGUCCUUAUUAUUAUUAUUAUUAUUAUUAUUAUUAUUAAUAAUAUAUAUAUAUAUAUAUAUAUAUAUAUAUCACCACAGUUGUUAAUGUGAACCGUUAUGAAAGGAAUUACAUUUCAUCACUAUUUUUUAAUACGACUGUGGUGAAAUUGUUUACCCAUAUAUAAGUGAAUUAGCUCCCGAUUCUUGACAGUAUCGUCGUGUCUCUCACAGGCCUAAGGCUGGAAAUGAGUCGAGUCGACUCAAACUAGCAUUUGCUUGGCUCGACUCAUUAAGAACUAGUUUAGCUUAAAUCUCGAUUCGGGUUCUACACAAACUUUUUUUAAACUCAAACUCGACUUGUUAUAAGUUCACGAACAAUUCAGUUUAACUUGUUAGGUUCAGCUCACUUGGUUCUCCUCAGUUUCAUCAUCCUUUCAUUUUACAAGCUUGUCUUAAUUUUCCAAGAAUGUUAGUUAUCAAGUUCUCCCAAUCUAUGUUAAUUAAUUGAUUUUUUUGUUGAUAAAGCUUGUUAUAUCAUAUGUGAUUGCUUGUUUCACUAACCCCUCAUUGAACUUGCAAUCACUUAAAUAGAUUUUUGAGAUAAUAAUCAGAAAUAUUAAAUUAUCUUGAAAAAUAACUUAGACGAUCCAAUGUUUUUCGAAUUGCAUGCAUCUUGUAAUUCAUGAUUUCCUCUUUAGCCCAUAGAAUUUGAUUCAAUGCCAAAAAAAAAUUCAAAACAAUGAUGAUAAAUGGAUGUCAAUGUGAGUCUUUCACAUAAAAUUUGAUGUGUGCAAAAUAUAAUAGAAAAAAAGAAGAGGAAAUCAAACUUUGUGUGAAAGACUUAAAAGACAUUCAUUCAUCAUCAUUACUUUGAAGAAUUUGGUAUUGAAUCAAAUUAUACGGGUUAAUGAGGAAAUCCUGAAUUACAAGAUGCAUGCAAUUUGAAAAAUAAUGGAUCAUUUAAGUUGUUUUCAAAGAAUAAUUUAAUUUUUCUGAUUAUUAUCUCAAAAAUUUAUUUGAAUGAUUGUAUAUGGUUAAUGAGAGGCACGGAAAAGCAAGCAAUCUCAUAUUUUAUAAUAAACUCUUACACAUACCACCACGGUUGAAACAAAUAAUUGUGUGAAAUGUUAAAACACAAGAAUAGCGUUGAUGGGAUUCGAAUCUCAUGACCUAUAAGUUAUUUCACAACGGUUGUUUUCAUUAUCAGUUGUUAUAAGUAGCGCGCUACCUAACUUAUAACCAUGGUCACUCGCCGUUGUGAAAACCAGCCUACAUACAAUCAUAUGCUACCUAAUAACAAACCUGAAACCGUCAUUAUAUGUGUUUUGCAAAUGUCAUUAUGUUUUUCAUAAUAGUGUUAAGGUUUAAUUCAAACAAGUUUCCUCUAUGGCACCUCACUAUGUUUGGAAAGGGUGAAUAUGUACAUGGUACUCUUAAGUGAGAGGUCCAUAGUUGAAAUCUUAUGAAGAACAAAUUCGAAUACUGUGAAAAAUAAUCGUUUUUUUAUGCAAAUGUUAACAAGUUAAUAUUAAUUUUGUUAGUUUUUAUUGUUUGUGAUUGUAAAUAGAAGACACUCUAAUUCGAGAAAAAAACUUGAAUAUCAAAUACUCUACAUUGUAAAAAGCUAUUGAAUCUUUUAAUGACAAUAACAAGUUAGAGCAUGGAGGAUUUAGAAUGAUUUAUAAAGUAUUUCUCUUAUCCGAAGACAUAUAUAACUCCACCAUUUUACAUGCCAAUCUAUUCUUAAUACUUUUGUUAUUGCAUGGAGUUAUACCUUAUGGAAGAGAGAUUGCUAUCAAGAGGUUAUAUUUCAACAACAGACACAUAGCAGCAGAUUUCCACAACGAAGUCAACAUAAUUAGCGGUGUCGAACAUGAGAAUCUAGUUAGACUAUUAGGAUGCAGUUGUUCAGGACCUGAAAGCCUACUUGUUUAUGAAUAUAUGCACAAUACAAGUCUUAAUCGUUUCAUUUUUUUCUAAUUUUCUGAACCUGUGUAGUAAUUUGACAAUUAAUUCAUGUUUGUUUAAGCUAUUACAUAUAACGCAUUGCCUUGUUUAAGCUUAUUUUUCCAAAGCAAGUAAUUGUAGCUACAAUAAUGUGUGCGUUUUAUUUGAUAUCCAACGUGAAAACAAACAGAGACUUAGUUUAUUUUUAUGAUGAGUGAAUGAAUGACUUUGUUAAUAUAUAUCUAAUUUGUAAAAAAAAUAUACUAAUACAAUGUGGCCUAGUGUUGCACUAUAUUUCCAUGCAACCAAAUAGACAUCGGUUUGACUCUUAAGGAACGCAAAAUUUUUGGACCUAAAUGUCAUGUGCUAAUAUAUGCCACGUCAAAUUUCACAUGUAUUAACAUAUGCCACGUCACAUGUCAUGUGUGUAGAAAUAUAUGUCUUUUGUGAAAGUUAGACGGCAAGGACAUAAAUGAUGUCCUUUGAAAACAUAAGGGACUAUAUUGGUCCUUUUAAAAUUUAAGGGACCAAAAUGAAGAGAUAAAGUUAAGGGACUAAAAAUCGAACCGAACCGUCCGGUUUCAAAACCGUUAGUGGAGAAAAAUCAUAUUGAACCGUCCAAAAUCAUUCGAACGAAAGAAUCGGAACCGAUUUUGUAAAACCUCCCGGUUCAAGAAAAUUCAUCAAAUUGACCAUUUUUUUAUUUUUUUUUUAAUUUUAAUAUAUCAAUAUCAAAACUUAACAUACGUUCUCAAUAAAAAAAAUCCACAUUUUUUUGAAACCAUACAAACUUCUAAGUUUUAUUACUCCAUUAUGAUUUUUCUUUAAACCACACUCCAUCAUUAUCAUGCCAUCUCUUCCAAAUAUAGUCACGAUAUUCAACUCAAUAUUGAUUAUCAUUCAAAGUAAUAUUGUUUGUUGUUGUCAAUUAAAGAUUUAUUAUGGUAGUUCAACUCAAAUUCGUUUUUUUUAAUGAAGUAUAUUAUAUUAUUUAUUUUUGGUAUUUUAUCUUACUUAAUUUAGGUAUUCUUAAUUAUUUGAACUUUAUUUAAUUAUUAUAUUUUAUUAUUUUAAUUUUGUUUUGAAUUAGUUUAACUUAGUUUAUUGUAAUUUUUUAAUUUGAUCAAAUUAUUCUUAAAUGAAUGUUGAAAUGAAGUGUAUAACUAUGUUAUGUUAUUAUAUUUAUUAUCGAUGUAUUGUAUUAAAUUUGUAAUGAAUUUUUGAGAUAUUUAUUUUAUUAAGUUGUGAACAUAUAAUUAUGUGUGACAUAUUUAUGAAAUUUUUUUUUAUAUUAUUAGUUUGUUUAAUAAACGGUUCAAUCGUAGGUUUAACCGGUUGAAACAAUUGAAUCUUAAACUGUAAGUUUCACCGGUUCAAUCUCCAGUCUGAUUUUUAAAACAUUAGUAAAAAGGAUAUUUUGCCUUUAAGUUUUAACAUUUCUAGUCUCUCUCUCAUAAUUUUGCACUUAAAAUUAAUGAUGUUUUCAUUUUUUAAAUGACAAGUUUCUUGUGAAACUUGAAAAAUCAUUGUAUAUAAACCUUUUUAUAAAAACGAAUAUUCCAUUGAUUUUUUAUGAAAAAACGUGAAAGAAUGACCAGAAUUGUUUGAAUUUAAAAUAGAAAAAUUAAUUUCGUGAAUUAGGUAAAAUUGGGGGACCAAACGAUAUGUGAAUCCAUUUUUUCAGCACUUCCACUUCUUGGUCCAAAUCAUUAGACUUACCUUUAGGUUGAAAAAUUACACUAAUUUUAACCUUAAACUUACUUUUAGAGUAAAUACAUGCACUCAUAAAUCAUUUUUUUAGAAUGGGUUCCUUCUGCUGUGAGAAAGGGACUAGUCUUUGGCUCCUUGCACGUCUCUUUUUUGAUAAUGAUGUGAUGGAGACCCCUAGUACGAUGAUCCUUGGGAGGUGUAUAGCUAGCACCUCCGCCACCAAAACCAUAAGGAAGAAAUUGUUGAUCACAUGGACAACGGUGUUAUGGUGAUUUGGAGGCUCUUCAAUGUUCUAAGGCAGCAUCACUAAGAGUUGCAUGAAGCAUGGCUUCAAGUUUAUCACGAUGAACUACCUUCCAUUGAGUGUGACCUUGCGAUAGAGGUAUUUGUUGAUUUUAUUAUACUCAUAAGAACUUAUCGGUAUCAAGGUGUCAUUUAUGUUGUUGCACCAAAUUGUAAAUGCUCGUGAUGAUUUCGGUUAGCAACUUAAUGGUGGUACAAUCAACUAACUUCAUGGUGGUUUGAUCAACUAACAAAAAUGGUUGUAACUAUGCAACAUAAAGGAUAUGAUGAACUCAGUAGAAAAUUUCAUGAAAAACAAGAAGUGUUUCCAUAGAUGAUGUCACUAUUCCCAAGAUCUCUAAUGUGGUGGUGUUGGUCUCGAGUACAAUGGAGCAGGGGUAUGUCUACUCGAUUAGGACUCCAAUUCCUUUAUUAGUAAGGUCAAAAAGGUGAAACUUUGGCAGAGUAAAUAAAAUUGUAUCUAUUAUGGCGCGAAAAAAAAAGUUUAUAUAUAAUGACAGUUAAAAAAAAUACAAAAAUCAAUUUGCAAGAAAAAAUAAAAUAAAAUUAUUUGUUAUCUUUAUUUUUCAAUCUUUACCUUUUUAUUACAUAUUUAUCUAUCUUAAUUAUAAAUAAAAAAAAUUUAAAAAAAUAUUUGUUAUUCUUUUUAUUUUAAAAUUAAAAUAUUUAAUAAUAGUUUCUGGAGUCGGAUAUUAAAUUGGAGAGAUGCUUGAUAUAAAAUUUUAUGAGAAAGUGGAGUGAGACUUAUUAAGAUGCAAUCACAAAUUUAAGUGAUUUGGGCACUCACACACAAAUGAAAAAAAAAGUAAUUUAAUAUUUUUAUAUUUUAAUUUUAUUUAUAUCAUGUGUGUGCCUAUACAAUGUUUAUUUGGGGUUGUGCUCAAGUAAGUAAUUCCCGAGAAAGUAAUGUAAUGUGCCCCAAACGGAUAUGUUACCCAUUGUUUUAGAUAAUUUUUCCUGUCAUUCCUUAAAUUUAAACAGACACCCCCUCUAAUUUUUAAUAUUAUCCAUAUUAUUUUUGACAAAAUUUUAGCUAAAAAAUAAGCAUGAAAAAAUCGGUAGAACAAAUGAAAAUUCUAGUAUAAAUCAAAAAAAUUGUAGUGUAUAAAUCAAAAAGUCUGGUAUAUAUUUAUACUGAUUUAAAAAAAACGGUGUAUGGAAAAACUUACUAGUUUUUAAAAAAACACCACGUAGUACUGGAUUUUUCAGCAAUAUCUUGAAAAAUAUGAUAGUGUUAAAUCACCGUUUUUUUAAAAACCUCAUACAUUUACCGUAUUUUUAGAGGAACUGCAAAAAUCCGGUAAUGUCGUUUCAACGGUUGAGAUUUUGCCGAAAGUUUUGUACAACUGUGAUUGCACCGACAAUUCUAUAUGGUCCAGAAUGAAUUCAAAUUUGUAUAAAAAUAGGGACCAUGUGUUAUUAAAAAGAACAUCUUAAAAUGCCUCACUAUUAGUUUAUGGCAUGUGUGUACUUCAUGUAAGAACAAGUUUGAUUCUACAUCUACAAAUCUUUAUGCUUUGAUGAUAACAAAGUGUGGAAGAAUAAUUUUGUACACUAAUUAUUUGUUAAGUGUGCAGAUACUCAAAGAUCAUGUUGUAAUCUAAAUGAAAAGAGCAAUUGUUAGGUAAAGCGGAUUUUGAUCUAGGAACAUCAAUUGCUUGUCUGGAGACAACUCUGAUAGUUGAAGACUCUAAAAGAAGUCAACUAUGAUUGUUAACUCCGAAGGCAACAAAGGCGAAUAAAAAGCAAUUUUCAAAUCAAAGCAAAAGUUUGAAGCAGUGUCUGAAUGACAUCAAAUUAUAAAAUCCAAACUCUGAAGAUAGUUAUGCCAUUGAAGAAAUCAAUUUGUAUGCAGACAAAGUCUGAAGAAAGAAGAAAGUUGAUUGAAGAAAGGAAAAACACACGAUAAACAAAGGAAGAAUACAAAGAUGUGUUUUCAGCAAGUCAAACUUCAAUAUUAUCAAGUCACCAUUUCUGAAAAGGAAACCAUUUAGACAAGCUAUGAUAAAGCUCUGAAUACAUGUUUGGACAAGUCUUAGAACCCAGUACUCAAAGGACUUUGAAUUCUCUUAAUGUUCUGAAAACUGAUUCUAAUAUUUACUCCAGCUUCAGACCACUUUCAUAAGAAGCCUCUAACUAGAAGAUUUAAAUUAAAGGUCUAUACUGUUUGAUGUGACAAAAGUUCAAAAAGAAAAUAUACUUUUGAAGUAAAUAAGACUUCUCACAUCUCAUCAUCAAACAACUCUCUGCUACAAGCACUGCUCAUCUACUGCACAUGAAGCGACCUUCAUACAAAUGAUACUUCAAAGGUCAACUCUUAUUCUACCCUCCAACGAAUCUAUUCAGCCCUUAUAUAUUCUGAAGAAUAUAGGUGGUGAAAGACAUCGCUGCUGAAGAUAGCCGAAGAGAGAGUGAGCUUAAAAGAGAAAAUAAAGAAAGGAAGAAAGAGCGAGUGAAAGAAAUCAUGGAUGUGGAUGUGUGUGGAUCUUAGAACUUCAUUAUAUAUAUUUUAAGUGUAAACAUUUGAACUUUAUCUUGUGUAAUAUGCUCAUCUAAGAAACAUAUUUGUAAACACAACUGCAUUAACCCAAACUGGUUAUGUUCCUCAAGCGACCAUGUUAGUCAGGCUCUUGAGAAGUCAGUGACGGGUAGUCAUUGAGGGAGAAAUCUUCUUAAGUGACCAGGUAGGUCAGGUCUUAAGGAGUCAAUGAUCGUCGGAGUUUCUCAAGCGACCGGGUAGGUCGGGCUCUUGAGGUAAUCAUCAACAGGUUGUCAUUGCUUUGUAAUCGUGAUUUGAUUAUUGGAUUAAGUCUUUGUCUAAGGCAAAUCACUUAAUGGGUGGACUGGAGGUAGCCUAGUUAAUGGUGAACCAGGAUAAAAUGCUUAUGUCUUUUAUCAUUGUUCUUAUUAUUCAUGAUGUUACUUGUGUUUGUUUUGGGAAACGAAAAGUUAUCAAAUUGGAAACUCAAUUCAAAACCCCCCUCAUUUCUUGUGUUUCAUGCACUUUCACUUCAACGGGGUGAAACCACCUGUUGAUUUUGGACUCUCGAAUGACACCACAUGUCUCGCCCUUUAGAAAUCCAAAUUGAAUAAUAUGUUGUUUGACAUCGAGAACAGAAAGGUGAGUAAAGUAGAGUUUCGUGCACCAUGGUUGACCCUCUACAUCCUCAACAACCGCGACAACUCCCUCAUCAUCAAGCUCGAGUCCAUCCAUUAAAUCUAGAUCCUUUAUGUCGGAUACUGUGGGUUAUGUGAAACUGCUUGGUUGUCGUCCGCCUCUUGUGAGAACCAGUCGGGGUACUCUUCCUGCCCAGAUAUGCGAGUCCUCGACGUUAUCUCCCCUAACACGAGCCCUUGUUGCCGCAACGACAGCUUUAUCACGCUGCUUAGAAGUAACCGAGUCAUUUGAUCUUGUAGUCUUCAUUGCAAAUACAAAAAAAAACGAUGCAAUUUGAACUACCAAUUUUCUUUAAAUUCAGAAAUUUUCAUGGUUUUCUCUGAUCUUUUGAAAUUUCCAAUUAACCUAAGCAACAUUUUUCACUACCAUUUUCAAAAUCACCAAUAUAACUGCUUUCAUUUUUACCAUUUUUUCAUAAAUUUGGUAUCAAUGCAUGCAUUUUCGAUUUUUCAAAAUAUUUGGUUGAAAAUAUCCAUUUUUACCAAUUAUUUUAAAAUAUCCAAUAAAAAAUAUGUAUUUUUACACGACUUUUCAAAUUUUUCAGUAAAAAAAUUACACUAAUUUUAACCCUAACUUACUUUUAGAGUAAACAAAUGCAUACAUAAAUAACUUUAUUUCAAACUUUAAAAAUAUAGAUCAAUACGCAAAAUCAAUUUUAUUCGGAAUUGUAUUAUCAAAUGCUUAUCAAAACAAACAUGCAAUAAUAAAUCUUAUUUGUCUUAAGUAUUCAACCCCAAUAAGCACAAACACACAAUUAAGUCUUAUUAUUAGCCAUAUCAUACUUGGCUUCAAAAUAAACUAUAGCUUAUUAAACUUAAAGUACAUCAUAAUAAUAUAAUGUAAUUAGGCAAAGCUAUAUCAUAAGAUCUCUUCAAGCAUAGGCUUCAGGGUUUGCAACAAGAUAUGCAUCAACUACCUUGAGAACAACCGAUGCUUCCUCCCUAACAGCCUU